UCUGAAGUAUCAUUUUUUUUCGUCUUUGCAAGGGUAGGAGCACGGAUAGUUCUGUGUCUUGACGGCGCUGCAUGAUUCUUUUGUCUUAUGAUGAUUUACAUGUUACGAAAUUGUAACACCUUGCCAUGUGGAACUACGGAAAUUGUUUGCUUAUUAUGCAGCACCUGCUCACUGCUUUUCUGCAAGCAAUUGAACCAAUAUCUGAUCUGUAAACACUUUGGUGGAAGCUACUCCUUAUCUGAGCAAUAGAACAGUGACUGCCAAAUCUUGAGACUUGAAUGCACUGAUGGUAAAUUAGGGAUGGCAAUGGUUAGGGUAUUGGCGGGUAUAAUCUCCUUCAACCCAAACCCAUACCCACAGAAACGCAGGUAGCUCCAGCAGGCGUGCUAAAUUCCAGUGCGCACGCCCAGCACAAGCAACAUUUUCCACUCAAACAUAGAACCAAGAAGAUCAAACACACACAAAAUAAAUCAACAAUAAAUAAUUCAAUUAUUAUUACAACUCAAACAAAUAGUUUAUCUUCAAUACAACAAAUAGUUCAUGAACAAUACAAGGAAUAGUCAACAAAUACAACAAACGUACAACAUCAAACUAGUUUUGUUGCCCAUCCCAUGACCACCACCCAUCGACUAGAUCCUUUUGAAGCUCAUCAUGUGUUUCGACACGUCGAAUGGCAUGAUAGAAGGCAACAAAGCGGGCCACCCUCGGAGCCCUCCUCCGCACUCGCACGAGAUGUCCCAUCAACUCAUAAUGAGAAUAGUCUAAAUCUUGCCCACGCUCAUUCUCGAUGAUCAUAUUAUGCAUGAUCACACAAGCGUUCAUGAUGUACCGAAGGAUCUUUUGAUCCCAAAAUCUAGCCGGCCCUCUCACGAUAGCAAAUUGGGAUUGCAAAAUUCCAAAAGCUCUCUCCACAUCUUUCCUAGCCGUCGCUUGAGCAUUGUGGAAAUCAAGUUUUUUCUUACCUUGCAGUGCCUUCAACGGCUUCACAAGUGUUUGCCACCUUGGGUAGAUGCCAUCCGCAAGAUAGCAGCCACAAUUGUAUGUGUGGCCAUUUGCUACAAACUCCACCGGUGGAGUUUCACCAUUUGCAAUCCUAUUCAUGAGUGGUGACCGUUGAAGAACCUUGAUGUUGUUGCAAGAUCCAGGCAUUCCGAAAAAAACAUGUCAAAUCCAAGUCUCAUGAUCAGCCACCGCUUCAAAGAUUAUAGUGGAACCAUUUUUUUGGUCGUGAAAUUGUCCAUGCCAUGUCGUAGGACAGUUCUUCCAACUUCCAUGCAUGUAAUCUGUUGACCCAAGCAUACUUGAGAAUCCGUGAGCUUUGUUGACCUCCAAAAGCCUUGCGGUGUCUUCAACAUUGAGAGCUCUCAAAUAUUCCGGAUCAAACACUUGCACAAUUCCAAUUCCGAAGCGCUUGACACACAUGAUGGCUUGACUCUCACCCAUGACCAAGUGGUCAUCAACUAGAUCCGCCGGAAUACCGUAUGCCAACAUACGCAAAGCGGCGGUCACCUUUUGGAAGGUGCGAUGUCUGAGUUCUCCGGUGGCAUUGCUCCUUUGCUGAAAAACCCGAUCAUGGCUCGCCAGUUUCUCCGCAAUGUGUUUGAACAACUCGAUGUGCAUCCUAAAACGGCGCCGAAAGCAGGACUCGAGGUAUGUGAGAUUCUCCACAAAAUAGUUCCUCAUCAAUCUGUUGUGGGCAUCGAUCCUUUCCCUCCAUAAUUUCUGACGACCGAAAACCGAGUCACCGUGCUUCAGCUUUUUAUUGACGUGCAUAGCUAGGAUCAUCGCGACGUCCUCUUCCUCUUGAAGAUCAAAUUCUUCAUCGAAAGAAUCGUAGGACGAACUCAUCUCCAAACUUAAAUUAAAACUAAUUUGAAACUACAAACAAUAUGCACAAAAUUCAUCUACAAAUAUAAAGUUAGAAGGAAAAUAUACCUUGCAAGUGUUUUGUCAAAUACCUUGUGGGCGCUGAGCUGCAAACGGUCGUCGGGCGCUAUUCAUUAGAGGAACGGUGCGCUCGAGGGGCGGUGGUGAGGAGAGAAGGUGAAGGAAGCAGCGGUGGCCACCGGGAGAAGCAGGGGAAGCGGCGGCGCGCUGGGGAUAGGCGGGCGAAGCGCCGAUGGGUCACCAGAGCGAAUGAGGGAAGGUGCGGGUGGAGGCGCCAGCGCCUGGAGGUUUUAGAUCCGUCGGUUGGUGAGAUUCGCGUGCACGAUUUGCUUGUCCAGCGCACGUGAGCGGGCACACCAAAUACCCAGCGCGCUGGCGCCUUUUUACCGCGCGUGGGAUUAUAGCGCGACUGUUGGAGCGCUACUUUCGACAGCGCGAGCGUCAUAUAGCCCUUUUUUCAGCGCACGACUUAUUUAGCGCGUUUCUUGGAGAUACUCUAACACCCUACCCAUACCCAUCGGGUACCCUAUACCCAAUGGCUACCCAGUGGGUAAAAUGUAUAACAUUUAAAUUUUUAAAAGGUAGAGAAAUGAGUUUAAAAAUCAAGUGAUGAUGGGCAAGUAGUAUAGCACAUACACAUCCUCCUCAUGUGGGAGGCAUCAAUGAAGUAUGCGCAACGGUUCGUGGGGAUAGUUUGAUCGUUGGAGAGGAAUCUAAGAGAGAAGUGUCGAUAUUUCAUCUUUUUGGGGAGUCACAUAGGUCGUAGGAGGAGUGGCGAGCAGGUGAUUGCGGGCCAAUGAGCUAUGAACGGUUUCAGGAAUACGAGAUUUAGGGUUGGGCCAUAGGAGUUGUAUGUUGACCCACAUACGAACUAUUUUUAUUAUUUAUUAUUUUCUGGGUAUCCAUUUGAUUACCCAUGGGCACAAGUUCAUACCCAUGUCUUACCCUUAUAUUUUGCGGGUACGGAUACCCAUUACCCAUGGGUACAAAAUCUCUUCAAGUCUUGCCAUGCCGUUUGUUUUUGGGUAGGGUACACGCGGGUACCCAUACCCAUGGGCAAAACUGCCAUCCCUAUGGUAAAUAAACUUGUCGACCAGGAAAAACUCAGUUGUUUAGCUCUAGGAACUCAGCCGCCCUCCCUCCCGCGUCGCCCCCGUGCGGUGUCGGGGAGGAAACCCUAAAUCCCUCCACCGUCCAUCCCCCUCCCCUCCCUCCACCUCCCUCGCCGCUGCCAUAGGGUGUGCUUGGGCGAAGCCCGGUGGGCACCGGUGGCGGCGGGGUAUUUUUCGUCCUCUCACGCGGUGAGACAGACAUGGGCCGUCUUCCCCUAGCCUGAGCGUGGUGCGGGCACUGGGCAUCACGACGACGAUGUGCAGGCGCGUCUGUGUCGUCGGUGCGUCAGGCGCCAUGGUGGCUGGCGGUUCACGUGGGUUGGCCUCGGUCAAAUCCGUCCAGGAUCUGACGCUGACGGCUCAUCUGGCGGCGAGGGCUGGGACAAGCAGGGGCCGCGGGCGGCAAGCGCUGUUGUGCAUAGGGCGGCAGGGCUGGUGGCGUGGUUGAGGUGGAGGUGGCGCGUACGUGGCCAGGUGUCCGGUUGGCCCUCCUUCUCGGCUUUAGGACGACGGUGUGCGAUGCAGGAGGACUGAUACGUCUCCAGCGUAUCUAUAAUUUUUGAUUGUUCCAUGCUAUUAUAUUAUCAACCUUGGAUGUUUUAUAUGCAUUUAUAUACUAUUUUAUAUGAUUUUUGGGACUAACCUAUUAACCUAGAGCCCAGUGCCAGUUUCUGCUUUUCCCCUUGUUUUAGAGUAUCGCAAAAAAGGAAAAUCAAACGGAGUCCAAUUGACCUGAAACUUCACGAAACUUAUUUUUUGACCAGAAGAAGCCCACAGAGUAUCAGAAUUGGACCAGGAGAGUCCCGGGCUGCACACGGGGGUGGGGGGCGCGCCUCCUGCCUCGUGGACAACCCGGAGGUCCACUGACGUACUUCUUCCUCCCAUAUAUACCCAUAUACCCUAAAAACUCCGGGGAGCAGAAUAGAUUGGGAGUCCCGCCGCCAGAAGCCUCCGUAGCCACCGAAAACCAAUCUAGACCCGUUCCGGCACCCUGCCGGAGGGGGAAAUCCCUCUCCGAUGGCUAUCUUCAUCAUCCCGGUGCUCUCCAUGACGAGGAGGGAGUAGUUCUCCCUUGGGGCUGAGGGUAUGUACCAGUAGCUAUGUGUUUGAUCUCUCUCUCUCUCUCUCUCUCUCUCUCUCUCUCUCUCUCGUGUUUUUGAGGUGGCACGAUCUUAAUGUAUCGCGAGCUUUGCUAUUAUAGUUCGAUCUUAUGAUGUUUCUCCCCCUCUACUCUCUUGUAAUGGAUUGAGUUUUCCCUUUGAAGUUAUCUUAUCGGAUUGAGUCUUUAAGGAUUUGAGAACACUUGAUGUAUGUCUUGCGUGGGAUACCCAUGGUGACAAUGGGGUAUUCUAUUGAUCCACUUGAUGUAUGUUUUGGUGAUCAACUUGCGGGUUCCGCCCAUGAACCUAUGCAUAAGGGUUGGCACACGUUUUCGUCUUGACUCUUCGGUAAAAACUUUGGGGCACUCUUUGAAGUACUUUGUGUUGGUUUGAAUAGAUGAAUCUGAGAUUGUGUGAUGCAUAUCGUAUAAUCAUACCCACGGAUACUUGAGGUGACAUUGGAGUAUCUAGGUGACAUUAGGGUUUUGGUUGAUUUGUGUCUUAAUGUGUUAUUCUAGUAUGAACUCUUGAAUAGAUCGAUCCGAACGAAUAACUUUGAGGUGGUUUCGUACCCUACCAUAAUCUCUUCGUUUGUUCUCCGCUAUUAGUGACUUUGGAGUGACUCUUUGUUGCAUGUUGAGGGAUAGUUAUGUGAUUCAAUUAUGUUAUUAUUGUUGAGAGGACUUGCACUAGUGAAAGUAUGAACCCUAGGCCUUGUUUCCCAGCAUUGCAAUACCGUUUAUGCUCACUUUUAUCAUUAGUUACCUUGCUGUUUUUAUAUUUUCGGAUUACAAAAACCUUUAUCUAUUAUCCAUAUACCACUUGUAUCAUCAUCUCUUUGCCGAACUAAUGCACCUAUACAAUUUACCAUUGUAUUGGGUGUGUUGGGGACACAAGAGACUCUUUAUUAUUUGGUUGCAGGGUUGCUUGAGAGAGACCAUCUUCAUCCUACGCCUCCUACGGAUUGAUAAACCUUAGGUCAUCCACUUGAGGGAAGUUUGCUACUGUCCUACAAACCUGUGCACUUGGAGGCCCAACAACGUCUACAAGAAGAAGGUUGUGUAGUAGACAUCAAUCUCUUUUCUGGCGCCGUUGCCGGGAAGGUUAGCGCUUGAAGGUAUAUCUUUAGAUAUUGCAAUCGAAUCUUUUAGUUUCAUGUUUUAUCACUAGUUUAGUCUAUAAAAGAAAACAAAAAAAUAAUGGAAUUAAGUUUGCCUCAUACGCUUCAUCUUUUCAAUAUCUUUCAUGAGUACGAUGGAAAGAAAAAUUGUGCCAACGUGUUAGAAACAGAAUGCAUUAGAAUGUUCGGCACUAAAUAGCUGAAUGAUAAGCAUGAUUGCAAUGUUGUUAGUAUGAAUUCCUUGAAUAUCCAUGAUGCUAAUGAUAUGCAAAGCCACAAACUUGGGGAAGCUAUGUUUGAUGAAGAUGAUAUUUUUUGUCCCCUAAGUUUUGAUGAGCAAAUUUAUUAUGAUGAAAGCAUGCCUCCUAUUUAUGAUGAUUAUAUUGAUGAAAGUGGAUUUGGAGAGGCCAUGACUUUAUUUUGUGAUGAAUCCACUAUUCCGGAAGAGGUUCCAAUUGAUUAUGAGAACAAAGUUGCUAUCUAUGAUGAUUAUUGUGAUGACUUAUAUGCUAUAAAGAAAAAUGAUAUCCAUGAAACUUGUCAUCAUGAUUUUAGUUUUCAAUUGGAUUAUGCCUCACAUGAUAAUUAUUUUGUUAAGUUUGCUCCCAUUAUUAUUCAUGAGAAGAAUUUUGCUUAUGUGGAGUAAUAAAACUUAUAUGCUUGUGAUACGUAACGUAUCUAUAAUUUUUGAUUACUCCAUGCUAUAUUAUCUACUGUUUGGACUAUAUUGGGCUUUAUUUUUCACGUUUAUAUUAUUUUUGGGACUAACCUAUUAACCGGAGGCCCAGCCCAGAAUUGCUUUUUUUUGCCUAUUUCAGUGUUUCGGAUAAACGGAAUAUCAAACAGAGUCCAAACGGAAUAAAAUCUUCAGGAACGUGAUUUUCUCACCGAACGUGAUCUAGAAGACUUGGACCCUGCUCCACGGAACAAAAGAGGCGGUCACGAGGGUGGGGGGCGCCCCCCUAGGGCGCGCCCCUGCCUCGUGGGCCCCUCGUUACUCCUCCGGCGUACUUCUUCCUCCUAUAUAUACACACGUACCCCCAAACGAUCAGAACAGGAGCCAAAAACCUAAUUCCACCGCCGCAACUUUCUGUAUCCAUGAGAUCCCAUCUUGGGGCCUGUUCCGGAACUCCACCGGAAGAGGGCCGUCAUCACGAAGGGCUUCUACAUCAUCAUAGCCUCUCCGAUGAAGUGUGAAUAGUUUACCUCAGACCUUCGGGUCCAUAGUUAGUAGCUAGAUGGCUUCUUCUCUCUCUUUGAAUCUCAAUACAAAGUUCUCCCCUCUUUUGUGGAGAUCUAUUCGAUGUAAUCUUCUUUUUACGAUGUGUUUGUUGAGAUUGAUGAAUUGUGGGUUUAUGAUCAAGUCUAUCUAUGAAUAAUACUUGAAUAUUCUCUGAAUUCUUUUAUGUAUGAUUGGUUAUCUUUGCAAGUCUCUUCGAAUUAUCCGUUUGGUUUGGCCAACUAGAUUGGUAGUUCUUGUCAUGGGAGAAGUGCUUAGCUUUGGGUUCGAUCUUGCGGUGUUCUUACCCAGUGACAGAAGGGGCAGCAAGGCACGUAUUGUAUCAUUGCCAUCGAGGAUAAUAAGAUGGGGUUUAUUUCAUAUUGCAUGAAUUUAUCUCUCUACAUCAUGUCAUCUUGCUUAAGGCGUUACUCUGUUUUUAACUUAAUACUCUAGAUGCAUGUUGGAUAGCGGUCGAUGAGUGGAGUAAUAGUACUAGAUGCAGAAUCGUUUCGAUCUACUUGUCACGGACGUGAUGCCUAUAUACAUGAUCAUGCCUAGAUAUACUCAUAACUAUGCUCAAUUCUGUCAAUUGCUCAACAGUAAUUUGUUCACCCACCGUAGAAUACUUAUGCUCUUGAGAGAAGCCACUAGUGAAACCUAUGGCCCCCGGGUCUAUUCUCAUCAUAUCAAUCUCCAUUAUUUUAACCUUGCUUUGCUUUUUUACUUUGCCUUUACUUUUUACUUUGCAUCUUUAUACCAAAAAUAUUAUAUCUAUCAGAUCUCACUUUCGUAAGUGACCGUGAAGAGCUUGACAACCCCUAAUCGCGUUGGUUGCGAGUAGCUAUCGCUUUGUGCAGGUACGAGGGACUUGAGCGUGGGCCCCUACUGGAUUGAUAUCUUGGUUCUCAAAAACUAAGGGAAAUACUUACGCUACUCUGCUGCAUCAUCCCUUCCUCUUCGGGGAAAACCAACGCAAGCUCAAGACGUAGCAAGAAGGAUUUCUGGCGCCGUUGCCGGGGAGUCUACGCAAAAAGUUAACAUACCAAGUACCCAUCACAAUCCCUAUCUCUCACAUUACAUUAUUUGUCAUUUGCCUCGCGUUUUCCUCUCCCCCCAGUUCACCCUUGCCAUUUUAUUCGCCUUCUCUCUCUCCCUAUCCCCCCUCUCUAUUUGCCUCUUGUUUGCUUGUGUGCUAGUUUGCUUGCUUGUCGUUAUGUCUGAAACUGGGAAAGUUAUCGCCAAUAUGAGCGAUAACAAUAUCAUGGAAAAUUCUGAUGCUCCUGCUAAAGAACCUACCAUCUUUCAUACAAAAAAAUUCCGUGUUGGUAGUGGUAAUAUUAUUCGCGCGUCUCAGGUGCGGGCUGGCAACCAUGGCCACGCGGGUGGCGUGGUUGCGGGGGGUUGACGAUGGUAGGGUGCGACGGCGGGGUGUGAGCGCCGGGGUACACCACUUGCCCUGUCCUUUGACCGACCGACGGUGGUGGCGGCCGUUGACGUCGCAUCCUUCCUGAAGACUCUGUCGUGGCGUUCCACUCGUGUCGUCUUGUUCCGCGUGAAAACCUGAUCUUCGGGAUCGAGCGGUGGCGGCUAUCUAUAGUCAUAUCCUUUUUGGAGGCGCUGCUUUGGAGUCACGGCUUCGUUGUUGUCUGGCUCAUCUCUUUAUUAUGGUUGCUUAUGGUGGAGGUCUCCGUCGGUUUCAAGCGAUUUUCUUAGUUUGAUUGUUGAUCCAUGGGAUGAUGUGUGAGUGUCUGACACCUUUAUAUCUUGCCUUGGGUAUGUGCUGUGUGUGAUGGUGCCGUUUGUUUGUACGGCUCUUAGUUGUAAUGGUUGCUUUAUAUAAUAUAAAUAUAAAUUGAGGGGAAAUCCAUUUUUGGUAACUCGUGGACAACAACGCUUACUUGCUCUGAUUUUGAUGGGAGAAAUUUGAGGCAGCCUCCAGCUGCGGGAGCUGCUCCCCGCUGAAUCGUAGGCCGCGGCGAGGUGUCGUCAGGCCAUGGCCACCAAGAUGCGCAAGCUGCCGAGCGCCGUUUUGCUGUUCCUCUUGGUCGCGGACCUGGGAUGGGCAUGGGCGCUGAUCCCUUCUUCCUCCCCCGCAGGCCUCUCCGCCAGGCGCUACGACUCCAUCUUCAGCUUCGGCGACUCCUACGCCGACACCGGCAACAACCCCGUCGUCUUCGCCGCCAACUCCGUCUUCAACGUUGUGACGCGCCCACCCUACGGCUCCACCUUCUUCGGCCGCCCCACCGGCCGCAACUCCGACGGCCGCCUCAUCAUCGACUUCUUCGGUACACAUACGCACUGAACAAACUCUCCUGAUCUGAGGUGGUCAACUCAACUGGUCUGCUUCGCAGCUCAACGCCUGGGCCUGCCGCUCGUCCCGCCGUCCCUGGCGCACAACGGGAGCUUCCGCAGAGGCGCCAACUUCGCCGUCGGGGGCGCCACCGCUAUCGACGCCGCUUUCUUCCACGACGGGUCCGAUCCCGGCAACAAGUUCCCUCUCAACACCAGCCUGGGCGUCCAGCUGCAGUGGUUCCAGGCUCUCAAGCCUUCCCUCUGCCGCACCACCCAAGGUUGGUACUACUACUUCUCAAGUCAAUCGACGCAAAUGUUUAUUCAGCUAGCCGCGCUGCCUGCAGAGUGACAUUUUUCUUCCGGUGCAGAGUGCAAAGCAUUCUUCGGCAGAUCCCUCUUCUUCGUGGGCGAAUUCGGGGUCAACGACUACCACUUCUCCUUCCCCACCAAGAGCCUGCAAGAGAUCACGGCGUUCGUUCCAGAUGUGGUCAGGGCCAUCUCAAUGGCAAUCGAGGUACCUACCUCAGGUCGUCAACCUGCAUUUCACCUUCGGAACAGGGGCAGUUUAACAUGGUAUUGAUCCAGCUAUGGCAAUGGUGACAGAGGCUGAUCAAGCACGGGGCGACGAGUUUCGUCGUCCCCGGGACAAUCCCCUCAGGGUGCACGCCGCAGUUCAGCAGCUACCUCGCCAAAGACAACCCGGCAGAAUACAACUCCACCACCGGCUGCCGGGAAGAUUAUAACAAGCUAGGGAUGCACCACAACCUGCUGCUGCAGGAGGCCCUGGAGAAGCUCCGGGGCAGGCACCCGGACGCCAUGAUCGUCUACGCCGACCUCUUCGGCCCCAUCAUGGACAUGGUUGAGUCACCUCGCAAGUAUGGUAAGCACUUUCAGAGCUGUUGUCUUGCAGCAGGUCAAGGCUGAUGGUUGUCAUUCUGCAGGGUUUGAAGAAGAUGUUCUUACCAGCUGCUGCGGAGGGCCGGGGACACUUGUCUGCGGCGACGAAGGUGCAAACCUAUGUGAGAAACCGGCUGCUCGUCUGUUCUGGGAUGUCGUCCACUUGACGGAGGCGGCUUACCGCUACAUCGCCGAUGGCUGGCUGGGCAGCAUAGACUCCCCUGCAGCUGCAAGAGAGAGCAGGUAUCAGUUAGUGAGGUAGCAGAAGCUGCUCUGCUUCAUGGACUGUUGGCUAUGUGGAGUCUGGCCUGUCUGAACCGAAAUACACUGGAGAUGAAAUGUAAGCAUGCAAGUUUAUUUUGGAAACCACUUGCUGUUCUUUUCGGAGCUACAUUUCUCGGUUAAGUUGAUCGGCUGGAUCUGAUCUGGAAAUUCCUGAUUACAACAUUGAGACACUUAUCUUGGAUCGAAGGGAGUAAUAUAUUUUAGAGCCAAAAACGUCAUUGUAUUGUUCAGCCUUUCAUGCCAUUACUUAGAUAUUCAGGAGAAUCUACAAUCAUACAUCAUCUCAAAAGAAACCCUACUUAAACGCAGGGCAAAUGGCAUAACUGUGAUCCUUGUAUUCUGCAAACGUUUGUAUUGCUGCGGUAACCAUGGAAGACACUUCUUCAAACAUGAGGAUUUAUUCGGUCUAUGCAAAUACCGCAAUCUGCGGUGCAAUGCAUAGAUCUGCUAGAAUUGAGUUAAUUGCAUAAAACCUCCAUAUUUCGGGCUUCUUCAAGAAAACCACAUGGUUCCUAAUCAUUUGCAAAAAUCACCGUGCAUUCAGUAAACUUUUUGCAAAUAGCACUGAUCGCUCGCUUUGCAGCGUUGGGGGCGUUUCCGAUAGGUGGGACCCAAAAUAGGUGACGUGGCGUAACGGCCUGGCGGACCGCGCCGUUAGGCAGUAGCUGGUCGAACCGGCGAGGUAUGAGUGUCCGACUGCACCAGCUAUGGAUGGCUUGAAGGCAGCGCUAAACUUAAAGUACUAAAUAAAGUGGCAAUUUCGUUUCUUUUUUUACCUUUUAAAUAUUUCUUGGAAACAAAAUUUCAUGAAAAUGCGAACAAUGUUUCGAAAUCAUAAAACAAUUCGAAUAUUCUUUUCUUAAAUGUGAACAAUUUUUAAAAUUGUGAACAAAUUUUGGAAUCUAACAAUUUUUUAAAAACAAAAAAAAUACACCCUGAACAUUUUCUUAGUAUGCGGUGAACUUUAUUCAAAUACACACCGAACAUUUUUUAAAUAUAUGAUGAACUUUUUUGAAAUUCACGCUGAACAAAAUUUCUGUAGACAAUGAACAUGUAUUUAUACACGGUAAACAUUUUUUUCAAUACAAUGAACUUUUUUUAACAAGAACAUUAUUAGGAAAAUGAACACAAUUAGAAUUCUGAACUUUUAUUGGAAUUUGGAAUUCCAAACUUUUUGUUAACAUGAAUAAAUUUGGAAAACACAAACAAAAUUUGGAAUUUCAAACAUUUUUUGAAAAAAUUGAUUUAUGGAAAACAAAAAAGAAAAAUAAUUAGGUUAAAAACAGAUGAAAAAGAAGAAGUAAUAAGCAGAAAAAAAACAUGAAGAGAAGCGGGAAAAAAUGUAACAAAAAAUAAAACAGUAAAAAAGUCAGAGAACUUCUAAAAGGUUUCCAAAACCGGUUGCUCGCUCGAAGUGGGUCAACCCGUAUCGCGUCGGUCGCUUGUUUCGCUUCAGCGAAGCAGCGAUAGUUUGAUGCUCAUACGCGGCAAAUAGGUUUCGCCGUUUGGGGAGAAGAGUCAUAUAGACGGCGCCACGCAUAGGAGGCCGUCCAACUAGGUCAGACUAUUGUCGCACACGGAAACAUCGAAGAUUUUAUCGAAAAAGAAUGACAGUGCGAGAGAACGAACUAUGUAACUCACACUACUGACCGCUCGUCGCUAGGCACUUGAGCUGAUAAGCUUCAAUGUCUAACUACAGAAAUGCGGACUAGUAGAACUAUACCUCAGCGAUUGGUUUACUUUGGCGAACCGGUCUUCUUCCCUGUUUUCUUUUCUUAAUUAUUUUUUGUUUCUUUUUUUCUUUUUCGUUUCUCUCUUUUCUUUAAAAAAAUGCUCGCCCUUAUAAAAAUUUGUCCAAAAUUUCGAAAACGUUUGCCUUUUCAAAUUUUAUUCAGAAAAUACAAAUAUUUGCAUGUUAAAAGAUUCUAUAGAAAUUUCAAAUAAAUGUUUGUGUCUUUCAAAAUUGCCUACAUAUGAAAAACAUGAACAUUUUUAAAAAUAGCAUGCAAAUUUUGAACACGAAUAUUUUCUAAACAUUUUUCGAAAAGCACGAACAAAUAGGGAGUUUAAAAAUAGAAAAAAAUGAACGAAAAUUUGAAAUCAUUUUUUAACUUCCCUGAAUAUUUUUUGUAUUUACAUAGAAAAAAACACCAUGUUCACGUAGGGUGUCCUGGUAAGCCAGAAGGCUCUGUCUGAGAGCACAUUUUUUAACAUCCUUUAUGAUGGAAAUAUGCCCUAGAGGCAAUAAUAAAGUUAUUAUUUAUUUCCGUAUAUCAUGAUAAAUGUUUAUUAUUCAUGCUAGAUUGUAUUAACUGGAAACAUAAUACAUGUGUGAAUACAUAGACAAACAGAGUGUCACUAGUAUGCCUCUACUUGACUAGCUCGUUGAUCAAAGAUGGUUAUGUUUCCUAACCAUAGACACGAGUUGUCAUUUGAUUAAUGGGAUCACAUCAUUAGGAGAAUGAUGUGAUUGACUUGACCCAUUUCGUUAGUUUAGCACUUGAUCGUUUAGUUUGUUGCUAUUGCUUUUUUCAUGACUUAUACAUGUUCCUAUGACUAUGAGAUUAUGCAACUCCCGUUUACCGGAGGAACACUUUGUGUGCCACCAAACGUCACAACGUAACUGGGUGAUUAUAAAGGUGCUCUACUGGUGUCUCCGAAGAUACUUGUUGGGUUGGCGUAUUUCGAGAUUAGGAUUUGUCACUCCGAUUGUCGGAGAGGUAUCUGUGGGCCCACUCGGUAAUGCACAUCACUAUAAGCCUUGCAAGCAUUGCAACUAAUGAGUUAGUUGUGGGAUGAUGUAUUACGGAACGAGUAAAGAGACUUGCCGGUAACGAGAUUGAAACUAGGUAUUGAGAUACCGACGAUCGAAUCUCAGGCAAGUAACAUACCGAUGACAAAGGGAACAACGUAUGUUGUUAUGUGGUCUGACCGAUAAAGAUCUUCGUAGAAUAUGUGGGAGCCAAUAUGAGCAUCCAGGUCCCGCUAUUGGUUAUUGACCAGAGACGUGUCUCGUCAUGUCUACAUAGUUCUUGAACCCGUAGGGUCCGCACGCUUAACGUUUCGAUGACAGUUAUAUUAUGAGUUUAUAUGUUUUGAUGUACCAAAGGUUGUUCGGAGUCCCGGAUGUGAUCACGGACAUGACGAGGAGUCUCGAAAUGGUCAAGACAUGAAGAUUGAUAUAUUGGAAACCUAUGUUUGGAUAUCGGAAGUGUUCCGGGUGAAAUCGGGAUUUUACCGGAGUACCGGAAAGUUACGGGAACCCCGGGAGGUUAAUGGGCCUUAGUGGGCCUUUACGGAGAAGAGGAGAGGCGGCCAGGGCUGGGCCGCAUGCCCCUCCCCCCUAGUCCGAAUAGGACAAGGAGAGGGAGCGGCACUCCCCUUCCUUCCUCUCUCCCUCCUCUUUCCCCUCCCCCCAAGUCCUAAUUCAACUAGAAAAGGGGGAGGGGGGAGUCCUACUUCCGGUGGGAGUAGGACUCCUCCUGGCGCGCCCUCUCUCCUGGCCGGCCGCACCCCCCUUGCUCCUUUAUAUACGGGGGCAGGGGAGCACCCUAGAGAUACAACAAUUGAUCGUUUGAUCUUUUAGCCGUGAGCGGUGCCCCCCUCCACCAUAGUCCACCUCGAUAAUACUGUAGCGGUGCUUAGGCAAAGCCCUGCGUCGGUAGAACAUCAUCAUCGUCACCACGCCAUCGUGCUGACGAAACUCUCCCUCAACACUCGGCUGGAUCAGAGUUCGAGAGACGUCAUCGGGCUGAACGUGUGCUGAACUCGGAGGUGCCGUGCGUUUGGUACUUGAUCGGUCAGGUCGUGAAGAUGUACGGCUACAUCAACCGCGUUGUGCUAACGCUUCCGCUUUUGGUCUACGAGGGUACGUGGACAACACUCUCCCCUCUCGUUGUAUGCAUCACCAUGAUCUUGCGUGUGCGUAGGAAUUUUUUUAAAACUACAACGUUCCCCAACACUUUAAUGACCCCUUUUUCCUGUGGCUUGUAUGUUGAAUUUAAGGUAUCAUGUCAAGUUGUUUCGGCUUUUGAAAUUUUUUGCGUUUUCUGGAGUUCGGUAAAAAAGCUAAUAAAUGACCGGACAUGUCGCAACAUGGAAAUGGUAUCAGAAUUUGUUCAAAUCUUGCAUGGAAGCCGCAUAUGUCCGUGCGGAGCUGUUGCAAGAAAUUAGUGUCAUUUAUGUUUAGUCCAAAAAAACUAUCAGUUGAGAGGAGUGCGUUAGACUAGGCAGGACGUGUGCAUCCGUGAGCAUGCAAUUUUUCCUCGGUUAGUUGCAAUUUCCGUCAUUAUCUAUCAACAUGAACAUAUUCUUAUAUGCUAACCAUUUCUUGAGAUUUGUCAACAAUUUAGGAAUUUUAAUUGUGUAUGAAAAUUUUCUAGGCUUAACACUUUUAAAAAUUGUUAUCAAAUUCCCAACAACUGAUGGUGAAAACAAAUUGCAUACCACACACUUUUUUUAGUAAAAUAUCAACUUUUUUGAAACACAAACAUUUCUUAAAUUUCUGAACAAUUUUUUUGGAAACAGGAAUAUUUUUUAAAUUCCAGACCAUUUUAUAAAAUUGUAAACAAUAUUUGAACACAAAUUUUUUUUAGUAUUUGAAACAGUAUUUAAAGGCUUUAAAAAGAAUAGUUAAGUUCAAGAAGGAGGAAAAAUGAAUGAACGGGAAAAUGAAAAUUGUCGUUGCAGCGAGUGGAGCCUAGGACACAACCGGACAAGCUCACGCCAAGUAGUGAGUGGAGCUCGCUCUGUGCACACCACAUGGGCUGACCCCGAUUUAAAGAAGUUCACAAAUUUGAAAAAUGUUCAUCGCUUUUUAAAAAAGUUCAUCACUUAUAAAAAAAGUUCAAGUAUUUUCACGAAAACGUUCAUGAACUCGAAAAAACUUCACCAAUUUUUAAAAAUAUUCAGGAAUCUAAAAAAAUACUCACCGGAUUUUGACAGUAGAUCACGAUUUUUAAAAGUUCAUGGAUUUUGAUAAAAAAUCUACGCAAAUUGGAAAAAAGUUCAUAAAUUUUGAAAAAAAUCACAAUAAUAACUGAAAAAGUUUAGUAACUUGAAGAAACUUUUGCGAACUAAGAAAAGGGAAAAAGGAAAAAUUGAAAGAAAAAACGUCGAAGAAAAAAGUGCGAAAGAGAACAAAAACAGCCACAAAAGAAAACCAUACACGUUACAUUUGUUGAAAGGAUGGAAGAAGAUGAAAGAGUACACAGCAAAGUAACCUGGCGCAAUGGUUAGCAGCUGUAGAGGUCUCAAGUUUGAAUCUCCCCAGUGCAUGCCUCCCGUAUUUUUUGAAUUCUUACAAAGAAAAAAAAACUAAAUGGGCGAAAGCCCAAGACGGCGAGUUGGUGUGCACCAAAUCUGGAAAAUCACUGCGUAGCUUUGCUAAAGAAAAACAUAUACAGCAGGCAUUUCAAUAUAUGACCAUCAUAUCUUUUCUUAUGAAGAGGUAUGGGCUAAUCUGAGCCGUCCUUUCUAUUUAGGGGGGAGGGGGUACCGAAGAAGUGUUUUAUCAAUUUGUUGAGCUAUCAUCUUCCCCAAGCAUCAUUGCGGAGAUUGUAGGGAAGAUUCGGGACCUUGCCCAUAAACUGAGCCGAUCAAACUGUACCUCAUCCGGCCUCAUGCAGUCCAUGAACUCAGCCAAGAUGACCAUGUUCUUACUAACAUGCAGUUUGUUGCGUAGUUUUACGCGCCCCUUCAAAUCGGUGUAUAUUUAUACAUCCCUAUAUAUAUAAUUUACAGGUAUAAGCCACCGGCCACACGGAUGCAAAGUUACAGCUCCCGAGCACAUUUGGACCCGGAUGACCAGUAACACCGAAAUACACUGAAAAAAGUUCAAAAAAAAAUCUGAUUUUUUUGGUGGCAAACAUUUACAAAUGUUCUAAGUGCUUGCAAAGUUUCAUCGUGGAAUCACAUUCGUGGAAGCCAUGCCAAAAAGAAACAAAAUGGAUGCUCCUAAAAUGCUACUUUCAAAAGCAUUUUGGAGCAUUGAUUUUGUUAUUUUCAACGACUUCUACAGAUGUAAUUUCAUCAUGAAACUUUCAAACACAUGAAAAAAUUGUCAAAGUUUGCCAAAAAAAAUUCAGAAUUUUUGAAACUUUAUUUAAAUAUGUUUUUUGGUGUUAUUGUUCACCACGCGCUCAUUUGAGAGCGCAAGCAGAAGGGGACUUCCGUUUUGUACUUUUCUGGGUUGGUAGAGCAGUAGCAAUGGUGUCAAGUUUUUACUUUGUUCAGCCUGUACUCUUUGCUUCUACAAUCUGUUCACAUUUAAUUUACUUAGUUUCUACAGCAGUAGCACUUGCUUUGAUGUCAAGUCUUCUUCAUAUUUCCCUCGCAAAAAAAAGUCUUCUUCAUAUUUAAUUAAGAACCAUAUUUGCAACGAAUACCAGUUAUCUGUUGUACAAUUUUCGUAGCGUGGAGGGCAUAGUUGCUGCUGUUUUAUCACUGAAUCUGCUGAAAAACUACAAGUCUAGAAAGUCAGGGCUUCAGUUUUGACUUUAUAAGAUCUGGGCCUUUGGAUCACGUGUAGAACCUCAAUGGAGAGUCUGUCGACCGGCCUUGGACAUCUUUGUCAGUCCAUGGUAGAGGGAUGCAUUGGAGAGUCUGCAAGAAGACUGUUUCUUCUUGUUCCGACUUCGCUGAAUCCCUACAACAUUCCACAGAGGGAAUUUGUACGGUGUACAAAUGAGUUUUCAAUACUUUUUAGUAGAGGGCUUGUAGUCUGUAAUUGGAAACAAAUCUGAACACAUAUUCAGAUUCAGAUCCAACAAAUCCGGAAUUGGAUUUCUCUAGCAACCUUCUUCAGGAAUCAGGAUAUAUAUCACUUCCAUCACCCUCCAUAAGGUCCUGAAGCGAAGUUGGUACUGGAGGCAUAUCAACGUCCACGACACCUUCCAACAUGCGAACAGCUUGCCCCAUUGACGGCCUAUCGUUCUCCUGGUCCUGGAUGCACCAGCAGGCGACCCUACAGAUGACCUCCAGCUCCUCCACAUUAGCAUCGCCUUCCAGCCGAGCGUCCAGCAGGCACAGAACCUCCCCUUCGUUCACCUGCGCAGCCGCGUGGAGAGGAAAAUACCGAUGGCUCCCAAUUUUCACCACCUCAGUGCACCUUCUCCCCGAGACGAUCUCGAAGAGCACAAUGCCGAAGCUGUACACGUCGGCCUUCCUGGUGAUGGGCAGCCCGGACAGCCACUCCGGCGCGAGGUAUCCCAUGGUUCCUCGCAUGGUGGUCAGCGCGGAGUUGAAUUCCCGUCCCAGCAGCUUCGCCAUGCCGAAAUCGGCGAUCUUGGGGCAGAACUCCGCGUCGAGCAGUAUGUUCUCGGGUUUGAUGUCGCAGUGUAUGAUGCAGUCCUCACAUUCUUCAUGCAGAUAGGCGAGACCCUUGGCGAUGCCCAGUGCAAUUUGGUAGCGAACGUUCCAACUCAACACACCAGAUUUCUCCCUAAAGAGAUGAGCGUCCAAGGAGCCAUUUGGCAUGUACUCAUAGACGAGCAACCUUCUGUCCUCCUUGACACAGAAUCCCAGCAGACGGACCAGCUUAUUAUGUUGGAUCGCUCCGAGUGUCUGCACCUCUGUUCUGAACUGCUUCUCUGCUUCCCCGAUUACUUUGAGAUUCUUCACAGCGAUGUCUGUUGAUCCCGGCAGCGUUCCCCUGAAAACACUUCCGAAUCCCCCCUGGCCGAUUUUAUCGGAGAAAUUCAUCGUGGCUUUCUUGAUCUGUGCAUAAGUGUAGACCACAAGAGGGCCUUCCACUUCAAACUUCCCGGCGGCAAGCGAAUUCCUCCUGAAUCUCCAUAGCAGCACCAUUAUCAGUAUCAAGGAAGCAAAGCAUAUCAAUCCAGUGACCAAUAAUGCAAUUCCUCUUGCUUGCAAGCCUUUCUUGUUCCUGGGCGCGGGGCCCAAACGGAGGUAGAUCUUGCUGUACGGUGGCCUGGCAGCCAAGCUCAGAUUAUACAGGUUGUGGUACCAUAGCUUGCAUCCAUGGCCGCCAUACGAGUAGGCGAUGCAGUAGCAUUUGCUCCGGCAAGCCUCUCUGCAGACUUCAUCAGUUCCGGCCAUCUCUUCCUGGGCGUCGUAAGGAAGCCCUUGCAGCUUGUCCAACGGGGCGAAGGAGUCAUCGUGCUCCGUCUGGCCGUCGGACUCGCAGCUCAGCGGGAGAGACCUCGAGCAGCCGUUGACGAAGUACCCAAGCCCCCACUCAAUCGGGUACGACGGCGUGAACCCGCCCACACAGCCGCACUUCCCGCUGCUCGUGCAGGCGCCGAACUUACCGCAGAAGAACCCGCCGGACUUGCAAUUGGAAGGGAAGGACCAGCGAGCAACCCAACCACCGGUGCCGUUUCCGGCGGGAUCCGGCUCCGAGUACCGCAUUAGGCUGACUUGCCCCAGAUGGAACUGCAAGAACUCGGUACUGUUCAGGCCCUCCCUGUGAUUGAGCAGCAGCGAGCUGCCAUUGUCUUGAGAGGACACCAUCCAGUCCGGGAAGGUGCCGCGGUUGGCAUGGCCGUCGGUGGUGAGCACGAACCCGUUCCUGCGGUUCGCGUCGACGCUGAGGCUGCCGUUGUGCGAGAAGCUCUUGAACGUCAGCGAGACGUUCUUCCCGGUGUCCUUGUCGAGCCCGAGCCUAGCUCCGGGGAGCAGCGCGUCGCUGGGGUAGUCGAAGCUCUGCCACAGGACCAGGGAGGAGUUCCCCUGGUCCCUCACCACCAGGUUGCCGUUGUCGAGGAGGACCGCCACGGCGGCGGACGACACAUUGCCGCCCGGCGACGGCAUGCACCGGAGGCUGGCUCCAUUCUGCUUGAUGCAGAGACUGUCGGCGAAGAUCUCCAGCGACGCGGCGGGCAGGUCGGUGAUGACGACCCUGUCCCCGAGCCAGAAGGUAGGGCUGUGGCCCAUAUUCCGGAACCGGACACCCAGGAAGUAGUGGAUGCCGGGGCCUGGGGAGAAGAAGCCCAGCUCGAAGCCGCCGCUCCUGGAGACCAGGGUCUCGUUCCCGGAGAUGCCCUCGCCGGGGAGGAUGGUGUCCGUGGUGGCAGACGCGGCAAGCAGGGCACCGUCAAUGAGCAGGAGGAAGAGAAAUACCAGCGCCGCCCCUUUGGUUGGGGAGAGGCCGAGGCCGAGCGAACGCGCCGCGCCGCCGCCAUUGGUGUGCAUAACUUUCCGAGGAACGAACUGGGAACCUCCCCCAAUCCUCCAGCCCGACCAGUGGUGACGGUGAACGCCCGUCACCGCCGCCAUUGGCGCCGCCGGCUCGUCUUGCUCUCAAAGCUUGCUCCAGUUCAGCAAGCUUCAGAAGUUCAGAGCAGAGAGUGGUUUGCACUUCAGGUUUGCGGUGUAAAUAUCGCCCGCACCCGCCCAUGUCACCUUCAAUCACUUCCCUUUUUUUUGAGGGGAUUCAAUCACUUCCCUUCACAGAGUGACAGUUCAGCUUUUGUCUUUUCGUGUGUGUUUGUGCGUGCGGACGCUGUAGUGGACGGUGAAAUUAUGUGGAAAUCGGCUUAUCUUUCUUCUUAUAAACUGACAUGAUAUAGUGGUUGACAAGUUUAAAUUGCACCGCUUUGCGAGAGCCUUUGACAGUCUCGUCGCCUUUUCUGUUGCAUGUCAUGAGGAAACGGGGUUUGAAAGAAGGUGGCUCUUGGAUCUCUCUAAUCCUCUCCUCCCAGAGAAAAGAAUUAGGCGUGCAGGGAGGUCCUGUUGGAAUAUUAGGUAAAUUUGUAAUUAAUUUCAAUAAAUAAUUCAUGACUGGAACAGUAACUAGAAUGCAACAAUCUAACAUACUAGAUGAACUGAAAAACAUGCAAGACAGCAAUACACAUGUCACAUCAACCAUAAUUAGGGAUAUGAACAUAUCAGGAUGCACGUACUGUUCGUUAGUAGCCAUGCCGCUAGCGAUAUUGUUGACGACGACGUUGGUGAAUGUCGGACGAUGCAUAUGAGGUUGGAGACGUCGGUACGUGACGCCGUCCGACAUAGAUAGAAGACAACCCACGGUGACAAACUCGAGCAGUUGUGUGGAGCGCUUUCCAAAAACCUAAUUCGCUCUUCCUGGUGUAGGAUCAUAAAGACAAACAGUUUCGGAGACAUGCUCUUCCGGACUCCUGCAAAUGCACUGACCAGAUUACGCACGCCUGUGCACAUGGCCCCGACCCCCACCUGCCAUGCCCCGGCGAGGCGCGUCCGGGUCCUUCUUCUCUCCUCGACACAACAGUUAGCGAAGUGGGGAGGAUCCAUUAUAUAAAAGGUCUCACACGUCCUUAACUUUCGGGUUGGAUCUAAACUUAAACCCUUUACUUGGAAGAAACGUGGGUUUGGAACAAAGUGGCUCUUGGAUCUCUCUAGUCGAGCUAAAAAAACCUGACGUCCAUGGCAAUUAGUCGUUGAUGUGUGGAAAUUUUUCUGUUUAUUUUUAGUGCUACAUGACACGGCAAAUCCUUUGCUACAUGAAAUGGCAAAUCCUUUGCUACAUGAAAUGGCAAAUCCUUAUAAUGCAUAUCAGAUGACAUGGGAACUUAAAUGCUCCCACGCUAGGAUGUGAUCUCAGUUGUUGGAUCUCAACCUGACAUUUUUUUUCCCAAUCCUUAUACAUAAGCAUGGCAAUUUUAUCAGUUUUCACAUGGUAAAUCUGGUCGUCGAAUUUUUAGCGCUAAAAAGUUGGUGUUAGAUUUUUUACACUUUUGGCAUGCGCACGGUCCAAGGCAUGUGAAAGGAUCAGUAUGAUCGACUAACCGGUGUGAAUAGCCGACUAACAAUUUUUAACUUCUUCUCUAAAUUUUAGGCUUAACAAGAAAAUAGGUUGUUAGAUAUGCAAAUAAGUGGACAACCGGUCGGAGGGGGGACGGGAUUGGAGGGAAUGGGAUGGAAUGGGAGUGGAUUGAGUGAGAGUACAGUGGGCUGUGAACUAGGAUUUUGUCCGGCAGAUAGGGAUUUUGUGGGGUCGUGACGAGCACAUCCGAGCGUCCUCAUAUCCGUCCAAGAUAUGGACGGGUAUGGGGAGUGCCGAACAGCCCAAACAUUUGGGUUGGAUUUGUCAGGCCCGGUUGGGUGGCAAUUUAGUCAACCUAGGAUUGGGUGGCAAUUUUGAGUCCCAUUGUGACUGGGCAGCCAACCUAGGCUUACAACACAUAUGUCUAAAACCCUUAAAAAAUUCAGAUCUAAACUUGAAAUACACAUUGAGAAAAAAGGCAAAUUUAUCUUGAAUAGUCAAAAUAAGACAAAAUUAAAUUGACACUAUCUACAUCUGGAUUAAUUUUUUCUCAUCGCGUAUUCCAAAUUUUGAUUUGAAUGUUUUAGGUGUUGUGCAUAGUUAUCUUGUGAACACACAUUAGUUUUACAGAAUUUUAGAAAUGUGCAAAUUCGUUUUUUUUUUGGAGAAAAUAGUACUAGCAUGUAAGGGCUGGUACUUUUGGAUAUUUUUCUGGUAAAAUGAACCUCGCCUCGAAAUCUCUUUGAAGUACGUACUUGUCCGCUGUGAUCCUAGUCAUUUUUAACUUAUGGCUAUAUCCAAACGAGAUUUUAAUAUGAAAAUAUUAUAGAGUUGACGUUCCCAGUGAGCGGUUUUUGAAGGACCGCUCUAUGGUAUGUCCGAUUCCGCGGGUGAAUCUCAAAGCGGUGACACAUGACAAUAACGACGUGGCCACAACAUUCACACCACACCUUCUCAACGUAACAGCUCAGGCCUCCUUUGAUUCAUAGGAUAGGAAUGUUAUAGAAAUAGGAAGAUUAUAGGAAGUGAGAUGACAUGUAUCUCAAUUCCUAUAGAGAAAGAGAUGUCAUUUGAUACAUAUAAUAUGAACUUUUCCAUUAAGUCUUAGCUAAUAUUUUUUUCUCCAAAAUGUGAAGGAUUGAUUUUUAUCCUACAUAUGAAUAGAAAUCCAUUCCCACAAACCAAAGAGAUUGAAAGAAAAUUUUCCUAUGCAAAUUCUAUCCUAUAGAGAUCCUAUGAGAUUCCUACAAACCAAAGGAUGCCUCAAAUGUUUGCUCCCACAGACCCUCCUAAAGGAAUGACCCAUGUGUAGCAUGCCAUUCACUUAUGAUGUAAGGGCUUCUUCAACGUCGACCCUUAAACUACCCGCAUACGUCCAGACAGCACGGUCCGAACAGAUUGUGUCAUCCAACACAAGUCCUAUAUCGGUCCGCUUGACGAUCCGGACGUAUUUUCUCCUGCAAUCCGGAGACAAACUAGGGGGAGGGGGCUUUACGGGCGUCCGAAAAGCACCCACGCCCGCUUCUGACCACCCUGGCCAACCCAACACCCUCCUUCCUCGCCUGCGCGCGUUCCCGCCCGAAGCGGUCAGUGCCGCUCUAGAGCGCCAGUGCCGCAUUCAUGCCCGGCCAGAGUGGACGUGACCUCUCACUGCCACCGGCAUUGAAGCGGCGCGUCGGCCGAGAGAGCACCGCCCAUGCUGCUUCCGGUGCACACGACUGCUUCGUGUUCAAACGGCACCGCGACCGUCCGUCUGUCCAUCUGACGCCCACAUUAAUGACACGCUGAUACGUGUCCAAUGUAUCUACAAUUUUUGAUUGUUCCAUGCUAUUAUAUUAUCUAUCUUGGAUGUUUUAUAUGCAUUUAUAUGCUAUUUUAUAUGAUUUUUGGGACUAACCUAUUAACCUAAAGCCCAGUGCCAGUUUCUGUUUUUUCUUGUUUUUGAGUUUUAUAGAAAAGGAAUAUCAAACGGAGUCCAAAUGACCUGAAACUUUACGACGAUUGUUUUUGGACCAAAAGAAGCCCACGGAGUACCGGAGAUGCACCAAAGGAGUCCCGAGGCCUCCAAAAGGGUGAAGGGCGCCCCCACCCCCCUAGGGUGCGCCUUCCGACCUUGUGGGCCCCUCGUGGACUCCCCUGACUUGUUCUCGACGCCAACACCUUUUACAUAUCCCCAAACCUCCAGAACAGAAUCAAGAUCGGGAGUUCCGCCGCCGCAAGCCUCUGUAGCCACCAAAAAUCAAUAGGGACCCUGUUCCGGCACCCCGUCGGAGGGGGAAACCAUCACCAGUGGCCAUCUUCAUCAUCCCGGCGGUCUACAUGACGAGGAGGGAGUAGUUCACCCUCGGGGCUGAGGGUAUGUACCAGUAGCUAUGUGUUUAAUCUCCCUCCCUCUCUCUCUCUCGUGUUCUUGAUAUGGCACAAUCUUGAUGUACCGCGAGCUUUGCUAUUAUAGUUGGAUCUUAUGAUGUUUCUCUCCCUCUACCUUCUUGUAAUGGAUUGAGUUUUCCCUUUUAAGUUAUGUUAUUGGAUUGAGUCUAUAAGGAUUUGAGAACACUUGAUGUAUGUCUUGCAUGUGCUUAUCUGUGGUGACAAUGGGAUAUCAUGUGAUGCACUUGAUGUAUGUUUUGGUGAUCAACUUGCAAGUUCCGUGACCUCGUGAACUUAUGCAUACGGGUUGGCACACAUUUUCGUCUUGACUCUCCGGCAGAAACUUUGGGGCACUCUUUGAAGUUCUUUGUGUUGGUUCGAAUAGAUGAAUCUGAGAUUGUGUGAUGCAUAUCGUAUAAUCAAACCCGCGAAUACUUGUGGUGACAUUGGAGUAUCUAGGUGACAUUAGGGUUUUGGUUGAUAUGUGUCUGAAGGUGUUAUUUUAGUAUGAACUCUAGGACUGUUUGUGACACUUGUAGGAAUAGCCCAAUAGAUCGAUCAGAAAGAAUAACUUUGAGGUGGUUUUGCACCCUACAAUAAUCUCUUCGUUUGUUCUCCGCUAUUAGUGACUUUGGAGUGACUCUUUGUUGCACGUUGAGGGAUUGUUAUAUGAUCUAAUUAUGUUAUCAUUGUUGAGAGAACUUGCACUAGUGAAAAUAUGAACCCUAGGCCUUGUUUUCAAGCAUUGCAAUACCGUUUUCGCUCACUUUUGUUACUAGUUACCUUGCUGUUUUUAUAUUUUCAGAUUACAAAAACCUAUAUCUACCAUCCAUAUUGCACUUGUAUCACCAUGUCUUCGCCGAAACAGUGCACCUAUACAAUUUACCAUUGUAUUGGGUGUGUUGGGGACACAAGAGACUCUUUGUUAUUUGGUUGCAGGGUUGUUUGAGAGAGACCAUCUUCAUCCAAUGCCUCCCACGGAUUGAUAAACCUUAGGUCAUCCACUUGAGGGAAAUUUGCCGCUGUCCUACAAAACUCUGCACUUGGAGGCCCAACAACGUCUACAAGGUCAAAGUUCCGUAGUAGACAUCACACGCGGUUGCCAGAAACCUAAUCCAGCACCACCCAUUCGUCUAUCUUUCGCCCACCAUUCCCAUUCACCCGCUAUAUAAACUGCAGCCUCGACCAUAUCUGCAUUCAUUCUCCUCUGGUCCCUUUCUCCUCUCCACACCACUCCCACCAUGGCCUCCUCGCGUUCUAAAACUCUCCGGGAUGGACUGUCGCCGAAGCAUAAGAAGGAGAUGGCAGUCUGGCAGCCGGAGGCCGACGAUGUCCCAAUGGAGGAGGUGACUGAAGAUGAGUCGACACAACCCUCCUCGCUGGCCCACCCUUGUUGGUGCGUUGCACCAUGACCAUCGUUGAGGCACAUGCGCAUACGUGGACAUGGUGGGAGGAGCGGGAGGAGCAUUUCCAGGAGGCGCGGGCCAACGCGGCCUACAACCUCUAGCUCCUCCAGGAGCACCAGCAGGUGGAAGAGUAGCUCGACAUCGACAGAGUGAUUGCGCCGGAUGCAAACGUGGUGGAGGAGGUGGUUGUGAUACCCUCAUUUAUAAUUGUGCACUAAUCAUGCAUGCAUCAUGCACGAUCAUGAACGGUGACCCAUGUUAAUUUCACAACACGACUCUACACACAGAGGUAAACAUAAAUCUUUAUAUUACAAACCAGGGCCAUGAGGACCCAUAAUACAUCGGUCAUGAAAGAAAAUAUUAUUUGAGUACACACAUAGUUAGACAAGUUUUCCUUAAGAAGGCUGAGCGAAACAAUGACACUAGAUCGAAAGGCAAGGCCUCCUGCAUGGUACCUCCGAACUACUCAUGGUCAGCGGUCUCCAUGUAGUACCCACCAUCAGGGUAACCUGCAUCCGCGGUGCUACCAGCUGUUGCAGCAACCAGGUCGAAUGAAAAGAGUAGCAAAGCAAUAGUGAGCACUCAUCCAAAGUACUCGCAAGACUUACAUCAGAACUAUACUAUAAAUGCAUCGAUGUGAAAGGAAUGAGGUUAUAUCUUUGAACUAAACUGCAAAAAUGCAAGAAUAAGGGGAGGAAGGUCAUCCUAUCGAAGAAAACAUCUUUCAGCAGUAGAAGAGAGGAGCAUUGAUGUCGCUUGAAGCUACGUCGUUAUUUCCCCAAAGAGGAAGGCAUGAUGCAGCACAUCGGCGAUAGGUAUUUGCCUCAGAUGUGAAACCAAGGUUAUCGAACCAGUAGGGGAACCAAGCAACACAACGUAAACAACACAUGCACACAAAUAACAACUUCUCGCAACCCGACGUGUUAAAGGGGUUGUCAAUCCCUUCCGGGGUACGGCGCCUCUAGAUAGGGAAAUGUACAUGAGGUAAAUUUGUAGUAGAUUGAUAGAUCAAACGCCAAAUAGAAUAAAUAAGAAUAAAUUGCAGCAAGGUAUUUUUGGGUUUUUGGUUUAGUAGAUCUGAAAAUAAAAGCAAAGGCAAAUAGAUCGCAAAGGUAAAUAAUAUGAGAAAGAGACCCGGGAGCCGUAGGUUUCACUAGUGGCUUCUCUCGAGAAAAAUAGCAAACGGUGGGUGAACAAAUUAAUGUUGGAAAAUUGAUAGAACUUCAAAUACUCAUGAUGAUAUCCAGGCAAUGAUCAUUACAUAGGCAUCACGUCCAAGAUUAGUAGACCGUCUCCUGCCUGCAUAUACUACUAUUACUCCACACAUCGACCGCUAUCCAGUAUGCAUCUAGUUUAUUAAGUUCAUGAAGAAACAGGGUAAUGGAAUAAGAACGAUGACAUGAUGUAGACAAGAUCUAUCUAUGUAGAGAUAGACCCCAUCGUUUUAUCCUUAGUAGCAACGAUACAUACGUGUCGGUUCCCCAUCUGUCACUGGGAUCAAGCACCGUAAGAUUGAACCCACUACAAAGCACCUCUUCCCAUUGCAAUAUAAAUAGAUCAAGUUGGCCAAAUAAAACCCAAAUAUCAGAGAAUAAAUACGAGGCUAUAAGCAAUCAUGCAUAAAAGAGAUCAAAGAAACUCAAAUACUUUCAUGGAUAUAAAAAGAUAGAUCUGAUCAUAAACUCAAAGUUCAUCGAUCCCAACAAACACACCGCAAAAGAGUUACAUCAUAUGGAUCUCCAAGAGACCAUUGUAUUACGAAUCAAGAGAGAGAGAGAGAGAGAGAGAGAGAGAGAGAGAGAGAGAAAGCCAUCUAGCUACUAACUACGGACCCGAAGGUCUACAAAGAACUACUCACACAUCAUCGAAGAGGCAACCCCAUUCGAGAUGGUGUCUAGAUUGGAUCUGGGGUUCUGGACUCUGCGGUGGCUGGAUGAAUAUUUUGUUGAGUCCCCUAGGGUUUUGGGAAUAUUGGGGUAUUUAUAGAGCAAAGAGGCGGUCCGGGGGGCACCUGAGGUGGGCACAACCCACCAGGGCACGCCCGGGCCUCCUGGCGCGCCCUGGUGGGUUGUGCUUUCCUUGGAGCACCCCGAGGCGCAGCCAGGGCCCAUUAUGUUCCUUUUGGUCCAAAAAAAUCUCUGUAAAGUUUCUUUGUGUUUGGACUCCGUUUGAUAUUGAUUUCCCGCGAUGUAAAAAACAUGUAGAAAACAGUAACUGGCACUUGGCACUAUGUCAAUAGGUUAGUACCAAAAAAUGAUAUAAAAUGACUAUAAAAUGAUUAUAAAACAUCCAAGACUGAUAAUAUAAAAGCAUGGAACAAUAAAAAAUUAUAGAUACGUUGGAGACAUAUCAAGCAUAUAUGGUAUCAUCUUGCAUGCACAUAUAGCAAUAUCUUGCUCGGAGAUCCUCUCCUCGUCUCCCUGUGGGAAAGUGAUCUUUGGGUAUUCCUACCUGUAUCUGGGUGUGUUUUAUCAAGUAUCCGGUUUUAGUUUUAAGAGGUAGGGAUACAACUCCAAGUCAUCCUAUUAUAGUGGACAUGGCUAUUUGAAUAGUUUAACUUCCCUACAAAGGUGCACCACAUAACCCAACACCCUCGAUUACCGCUGGCUGGACACACUUUUUUGGGUAAUGUUCGGCCUAGGAUAAUCGACACACUGAAGUACUACCUAGACUCUCCAGAGAGGUCAACACGUUUGUCUACAUCCUAAGCGCGAAGGGGUCAUCGGCCGAUCACCCUAAGCACUGCUGCAUGUUGCGUGACUAGCCGGGACCAAGCCACCUCUACAUACACAGCAGGCAAUACUACACUGAUACGUCCAUUUUGCAUCAUGUUUUCUUACUGUUAUUUAUAAUGUUUUAUCCAUAAUAAUGCUUUUUGGAGUAAUUCUAAUGCCUUUUCUCUCAUAAUUUGCAAGGAACACACCAAGAGGGAGAAUUCCGACAGCUAGAAAUCUGGACCUGGAAAAGCUACGACAGGCCACCUAUUCUACAUAACUCCAAAUGAUCUGAAACUUUACGGAGAAUUCUUAUGAAUUAUUUAAGGAAUAUUGGAGUCAAUAAACACCAGAGGGGGGCCACCAGGUGGGCACAACCCACCUGGGCGCGCCAUCCCCCCAGGCACGCCCUGGUGGGUUGUGGCCUCCUCGGCCCACUUCCGGUGCCCAUCUUUUGGUAUAUAAGUGGUUUUGACCUAGAAAAAAAAUAAGAGGAGGACUUUUGGGACGAAGCACCGCCACCUCGAGGCGGAACUUGGGCAGGAGCACUUUUGCCCUCCGGCGGAGCAAUUCUGUCGGGGGAACUUCCCUCCCGGAGGGGGAAAUCAUCGUCAUCAUCAUCGCUAACAACUCUCCCAUCUUGGGGAGGUCAAUCUCCAUCAACAUAUUCACCAGCACCAUCUCAUCUCAAACCCUACUUCAUCUCUUGUAUGCAAUCUUGUUACCGGAACUAUAGAUUGUUGCUAGGGGGUGACUAGUAGUGUUGAUUACAUCUUGUGGUUGAUUACUAUAUGGUUUAUUUGGUGGAAGAUUAUAUGUUCAGAUCCAUUAUGCAUAUUAAUACCCCUCUGAUCAUGAGCAUGUUUGUUGUUUGUGAGUAGUUACCUUCGCUCUUGGGGUCACGGGAUAAAUCAUGUUGCAAGUAAUCAUGUCAAUUUGAUAUGUGUUUGAUAUUUUGAUAGUAUUUAUGUUGUGAUUCCCUUAGUGGUGUCAUGUGAACGUGGACUACAUGACACUUCACCAUAUUUGGGCCUAAGGGAAUGCAUUGUGGAGUAGUAAAUAGAUGGUGGGUUGCGAGAGUGACAGAAACUUAAACCCCAGUUUAUGCACUAUUCCGUAAGGGACCGAUUGGAUCCUAGAGUUUAAUGCUAUGGUUAGAAUCUAUUCUUAAUACUUUUCUCGUAGUUGUGGAUGCUUGCGGGAGGGUUAAUCAUAAGUAGGAGGUUUGUUCAAGUAAGAACAACACCUAAGCACCGGUCCACCCACAUAUCAAAUUAUCAAAGUAGCAAACACAAAUCAAACCAACAUGAUGAAAGUAACUAGAUCAAAUUGCCGUGUACCCUCAAGAAAACUUUGCUUACUAUAAGAGACCGUUUUGGCCUGUCCUUUGCCUCAAAAGGAUUGGGCUACCUUGCUGCAUACUUGUUACUAUUAUUUUUACUUGCUUGUUAAAUAUUAUCUUGCUAUCAUACUACUCGCUACUUACAAUUUCAGCACUUGCGGACAUUACCUUACUGAAAACUACUUGUCAUUUUCCUUCUGCUCCUCGUUGGGUUCGACACUCUUACUUAUCGAAAAGAGCUACAAUUGAUCACCUAUACUUGUGGGUCAUCAAGGCUAUUUACUGGCGCCAUUGUCGGGGAGUGAAGUGCUUCUGGUAAGUGGAACUCGGUAAGGAAACAUUUAUAUAGUGUGCUGAAAUUUAUUGUCACUUGUUACUAUGGAAAACAAUCCUUUGAGGGGUAUGUUCGGGUAUCUUCACCUCGUCCAGAACCACAAUUAAUUGCCCCUCAACCUAUAGCACCUACUGAAAAUAUUGAAUAUGAAAUUCCUUCGGGUAUGAUAAAACAACUGCUAGCUAAUCCUUAUGCAGGAGAUGGAACUAAACAUCCUGAUAUGCACUUGAUAUAUGUGGAAAACAUUUGUGGAUUGUUUAAGUUUGCAGGUUUACCCAGAGAUGAGGUGAUGAGAAAGUUUUUCCCUUUAUCUUUGAAGGGAACAACAUUUGCAUGGUAUAGGCUAUGCGAUGAUAUUGGAUCAUGGAAUUGGAAUCAUCUGAAAUUGGAGUUCCACCAAAACUUUUAUCCUAUGCAUCUAGUUCGUCGUGAUCGGAAUAAUAUCUAUAAUUUUUGGCCUCGUGAAGGAGAAAGUAUAACUCUAACUUGGGGGAGGCUUAAGUCAAUGUUAUAUUCAUGCCCCAAUCAUGAGCUCUCAAGAGAAAUUAUUAUCCAGAAUUUUUAUGCUCGGCUUUCUCGUAAUGAUCAAACCAUGCUUAAUACUUCUUGUGCUGGUUCUUUUAUGAAGAAGACUAUUGAAUUCCGAUGGGAUCUUUUGGAAAGAAUUAAACACAACUCUGAAGAUUGAGAACUCAACAAAGGUAAAGAGUCAGGUAUUAAACUUAAGUAUGGUUGUGUUAAAUCUUUUAUGGAUACCGAUGCUUUUCAAAAGUUUAGCACUAAAUAUGGACUUGACUCUGAGAUAGUAGCCUCCUUUUGUGAAUCAUUUGCUACUCAUGUUGAACUCUCUAAGGAGUGGCUUAAGUAUUACCCACCUAUUAAAGAAGAAAUUAAAGAACCGGUACCAGUUAAAGAAGAAUCUAUACUUUAUAAUGUUGAUCCAGUUGUUCCUACUGCUUAUUUUGAGAAACCUCAUUUUCCUAUUAUGAUAAAGGAACAUGCUGAAGUUUCAACUGUGGUUAACAAAAGCUCUGUUAGAACACCUAAACCAGACGAACAAAUUAGAGUUGAACCUAAUAUUGCUAUGGUUAAAGAUCUCUUGGAAGAAGAUGUGGAUGGGCAUGUUAUCUACUUCUGUGCAAAAGCUGCUAGAAUUGCCAAACCCGAAAAAGGGAUAAAAAUAGACCAGUUGUUGGCUUGCCUGUCAUUUCAGUUAAAAUAGGAGAUCACUGUUAUCAUGGUUUAUUGACAUGGGUGCUAGUGUGAGUGCUAUUCCUUACAAGUUAUAUCAAGAAAUUAGGGAAGACAUAACACCUAUAGAGUUAGAAGACAUAGAUGUUACUAUUAAACUUGCAAAUAGAGACACCAUAUCACCUUGUGGGAUUAUUAGAGAUGUUGAAGUCUUGUGCGGGAAAAUAAAAUACCCUACCGAUUAUCUUGUUCUUGGUUCGCCACAAGAUGAAUUUUGUCCCAUUAUCUUUGGUAGGCCUUUCUUGAACACUGUUAAUGCUAGGAUAUAUUGUCAGAAACAUACUAUGCGUGUUAGCUUUGGAGAUGAGUCUCAUGAGUUUAAUUUUUCCAAGUUUAGUAGGAACCAUCAUGAAAAAGAAUUGCCUAGUAAGGAUGGAUUAAUUUGUCUUCUAUUGCUGUGCCACCUACUGAUCCUUUAGAACAAUAUUUGCUAGACCAUGAGAAUGAUUUACAUAUGCAUGAAAAAAAUGAAAUACUCCCUAUGUCCCAAAAUAUAAGAACGUUUUCAACACUACACUAAUGGCAAAAACGUUCUUAUAUUAUGAGACGGAGGGAGUAGAUAAUAUUUUCUUUGAACAACGUCCUCUACUUAAGCACAAUUUGCCUAUUGAAACUCUUGGAGGUCCUCCUCCACCUAAGGGUGAUCCUGUGUUUGAAUUAAAACAAUUGUCAGACACUUUGAAAUAUGCUUAUCUUGAUGAAAAGAAGAUAUAUCCUGUUAUUAUUAGUGCUAACCUUUCAGAACAUGAAGAAGAAAGAUUAUUGAAAGUUCUAAGGAAGCACCGGGCUGCUAUUGGAUAUACUCUUGAUGAUUUAAAGGGCAUUAGUCCCACUCUAUGUCAGCACAAAAUUAAUAUGGAACCUUAUGUUAAACCCGUUGUUGAUCACCAACGUCGGUUAAAUCUGAAGAUGAAAGCGGUGAUAAGAACGGAAAUAUUGAAACUUCUGGAAGCAGGUAUAAUUUAUCCAAUAGCUGAUAGUAGAUGGGUAAGUCCUGUUCAUUGUGUCCCUAAGAAGGGAGGUAUAACUGUUGUCACUAAUGAUAAGAAUGAACUUAUUCCACAAAGAAUUGUUACGGGCUAUAGAAUGGCAAUUGAUUACAGAAAAUUAAAUAAGGCAACUAGGAAGAUCAUUACCCUUUGCCUUUUAUUGAUCAAAUGCUUGAAAGAUUAUCUAAGCACACAUACUUUUGCUUCCUUGAUGGAUAUUCUGGCUUUUUACAAAUACCUGUUUCUCAACCUGAUCAAGAAAAGACCACUUUUACUUAUCCUUUUGGAACCUAUGCUUAUAGAUGUAUGCCUUUUGGUUUAUGUAAUGCACCUGCUACCUGUCAAAGAUGUACGACUGCUAUAUUCUCUGACUUUUGUGAAAAGAUUGUUGAGGUUUUCAGGGAUGACUUCUCUGUUUAUGGGAAGUCUUUUGAUGAUUGUUUAAGCAAUCUUGAUCGAGUUUUGUAGAGAUGUGAACAAACAAAUCUUGUCUUGAAUUGGGAGAAAUGCCACUUUAUGGUUAAUGAAGGCAUUGUCUUGGGUCAUAAAAUUUCUGAAAGAGGUAUUGAAGUGGACCAAGCUAAGAUUGAUGCUAUUGAGAAAAUGCAACGUCCUAAGGACAUCAAAGGUAUUCGUAGUUUCCUAGGUCAUGCUGGUUUCUAUAGGAGAUUUAUCAAAGACUUCUCUAAAAUUUCUAGGCCUCUUACUAGUCUCUUGCAAAAGGAUAUUCAUUUUGUUUUUUAUGAUGAUUGUCUGGAAGCCUUUGAAACACUCAAUAAAGCCUUAAUUUCUGCACCUAUUGUUCAACCACCUGAUUGGAACUUGCCUUUUGAAAUUAUGUGUGAUGCUAGUGAUUAUGCUCUUGGUGCUGUCCUAGGACAAAGAGUUGAUAAGAAAUACAUUAUUCAUUAUGCUAGUAAAACUCUAGAUAGUGCCCAAAGAAAUUAUGCUACUACUGAAAAAGAAUUCUUAGCAGUGGUGUUUGCUUGUAAUAAGCUUAGACCUUAUAUUGUUGAUUCCAAACUAACUGUUCACACAGACCAUGCUGCUAUUAAAUAUCUUAUGGAAAAGAAAGAUGCUAAACCUAGACUUAUUCAUUGGGUUCUCUUGUUAAAAGAAUUUGAUUUGCAUAUUAUUGAUAGAAAAGGAGCUGAGAACCCAGUAGCUGAUAACUUGUCUAGGCUUGAAAAUGUGCUUGAUGACCCACUUCCUAUUGAUGAUAGUUUUCCUGAUGAGCAGUUAGCUGCAAUAAAUGUUACUAAUGGUACUCCUUGGUAUGCUGACUAUGCUAAUUACAUUGUUGCUAAAUAUUUGCCACCUAGCUUCACAUAUCAACAAAAGAAAAAAUUCUUAUGUGAUUUAAGACAUUACUUUUGGGAUGACCCACAUCUUUAUAAAGAAGGAGUAGAUGGUAUUAUUAGAUGUUGUGUACCUGAGCAUGAACAGGGACAAAUCCUACGGAAAUGUCACUCCGAGGCUUAUGGAGGGCAUCAUGCUAGAGAUAGAACUGCUCACAAGGUAUUGUAGUCUGGAUUUUAUUGGCCUACUCUCUUCGAGGAUGCUCGUAAGUAUGUCUCAUCUUGUGAUGAAUGUCAAAGAAUAGGUAAUAUCGGUAAGCGUCAAGAAAUGCCUAUGAAUUAUUCACUUGCUGUUGAACCAUUUGAUGUUUGGGGGUUUGAUUACAUGGGACCUUUUCCUCCCUCUAAUGGGUAUACACAUAUUUUGCUUGCUGUUGAUUAUGUUACUAAAUGGGUAGAAGCUAUUCCACCCAGUAGUGCUGAUCACAACACCUCUAUUAAAAUGCUUACGGAAGUUGUUUUCCCUGUUGGGGAACGUAGUAAUUUCAAAAUUUUCCUACGCACACGCAAGAUCAUGGUGAUGCAUAGCAACGAGGGGAGAGUGUGAUCUACGUACCCUUGUAGACCGACAGCGGAAGCGUUAGCACAACGCGGUUGAUGUAGUCGUACGUCUUCAUGGCCCGACCGAUCAAGCACCGAAACUACGGCACCUCCGAGUUUUAGCACACGUUCAGCUCGAUGACAAUCCCCGGACUACGAUCCAGCAAAGCGUCGGGGAAGAGUUCCGUCAGCACGACGGCCUGAUGACGAUCUUGAUGUUCUACCGUCGCAGGGCUUCGCCUAAGCACCGCUACAAUAUUAUCGAGGAUUAUGGUGGAAGGGGGCACCGCACACGGCUAAGAAGACGAUCACGUGGAUCAAGUUGUGUGUCUAGGGGUGCCCCUUGCCCCCGUAUAUAAAGGAGCAAGGGGAGGAGGCCGGCCGGCCCCUAUAGGCGCGCCAGGAGGAGUACUAGGAGGGGGAAAGAAGUGGGGAGGGAGAAGGAAAGGGGGGCGCCGCCCCCCUCUCCUAGUCCAAUUCGGACCAAGGGGGGGAGGAGGCGCGCGGCCCACCCUGGCGCCCUUCUCUCUCUCCACUAAGGCCCAUAUAGCCCAUUACUUCUCCCGGUAGGGUUCCGGUAACCCUCCGGCUCUCCGGUUUUCUCCGAAAUCACCCGGAACACUUCCGGUGUCCGAAUAUAGUCGUCCAAUAUAUCAAUAUUUAUGUCUCGACCAUUUCGAGACUCCUCGUUAUGUCUGUGAUCACAUUCGGGACUCUGAACUAACUUCAGUACAUCAGAACUCAUAAACUCAUAAUAUAACUGUCAUCGAAACCUUAAGCGUGCGGACCCUACGGGUUCGAGAACAAUGUAGACAUGACCGAGACAUGUCUCCGGUCAAUAACCAAUAGCGGAACCUGGAUGCUCAUAUUGGCUUCCACAUAUUCUAUGAAGAUCUUUAUCGGUCAGACCGCAUAACAACAUACGUUGUUCCCUUUGUCAUCGGUAUGUUACUUGCCCGAGAUUCGAUCGUCGGUAUCUCAAUACCUAGUUCAAUCUCGUUACCGGCAAGUCUCUUUACUCGUUUCGUAAUACAUCAUCUCGCAACCAACUCAUUAGUUGCAAUGCUUGCAAGGCUUAUGUGAUGUGCAUUACCGAGAGGGCCCAGAGAUACCUCUCCGACAAUCGGAGUGACAAAUCCUAAUCUCGAAAUACGCCAACCCAACAUUUAUCUUUGGAGACACCUGUAGAGCUCCUUUAUAAUCACCCAGUUAUGUUGUGACGUUUGAUAGCACACAAAGUGUUUCUCCGGCAAAUGGGAGUUGCAUAAUCUCAUAGUCAUAGGAACAUGUAUAAGUCAUGAAGAAAGCAAUAGCAACAUACUAAACGAUCGGGUGCUAAGAUAAUGGAAUGGGUCAUGUCAAUCACAUCAUUCUUCUAAUAAUGUGAUCCCGUUGAUCAAAUGACAACACAUGUCUAUGGUUAGGAAACAUAACCAUCUUUGAUUAACGAGCUAGUCAAGUAGAGGCAUACUAGUGACGUUUAGUUUGUCUAUGUAUUCACACAAGUAUUAUGUUUCUGGAUAAUACAAUUCUAGCAUGAAUAAUAAACAUUUAUCAUGAUAUAAGGAAAUAAAAUAAUAACAUUAUUAUUGCCUCUAGGGCAUAUUUCCUUCAGUCUCCCACUUGCACUAGAGUCAAUAAUCUAGAUUACACUGUAAUGAUUCUAACACCCAUGGAGCUUUGGUGCUGAUCAUGUUUUGCUCGUGGAAGAGGCUUAGUCAACGGGUCUGCUACAUUCAGAUCCGUAUGUAUCUUGCAAAUCUCUAUUUCUCCCACCUGGACUAGAUCCCGGAUGGAAUUGAAGCGUCUCUUGAUGUGCUUGGUUCUCUUGUGAAAUCUGGAUUCUUUUGCCAAGGCAAUUGCACCAGUAUUGUCACAAAAGAUUUUCAUUGGACCCAAUGCACUAGGUAUGACAGCUAGAUCGGAUAUGAACUCCUUCAUCCAGACUCCUUCAUUUGCUGCUUCCGAAGCAGCUAUGUACUCCGCUCCACAUGUAGAUCCCGCCACAACGCUUUGUUUAGAACUGCACCAACUGACAGCUCCACUGUUUAAUGUAAACACGUAUCCGGUUUGCGAUUUAGAAUCGUCCGUAUCAGUGUCAAAGCUUGCAUCAACAUAACCAUUUACGAUGAGGUCUUUGUCACCUCCAUAUAUAAGAAACAUAUCCUUAGUCCUUUUCAGGUAUUUCAGGAUGUUCUUGACCGCUGUCCAGUGAUCCACUCCUGGAUUACUUUGGUACCUCCCUGCUAGACUUAUAGCAAGACAGACAUCAGGUCUGGUACACAUCAUUGCAUACAUGAUAGAGCCUAUGGCUGAAGCAUAGGGAACAUCUUUCAUUUUCUCUCUAUCUUCUGCAUUGGUCGGGGAUUGAGUCUUACUCAAUUUCACACCUUGUAACCCAGGCAAGAAUCCUUUCUUUGCUUGAUCCUUUUUGAACUUCUUCAAAACUUUGUCAAGGUAUGUGCUUUGUGAAAGUCCAAUUAAGCGUCUUGAUCUAUCUCUAUAGAUCUUAAUGCCCAAUAUGUAAGCAGCUUCACCGAGGUCUUUCAUUGAAAAAACUCUUAUUCAAGUAUCCCUUUAUGCUAUCCAGAAAUUCUAUAUCAUUUCCAAUUAGCAAUAUGUCAUCUACAUAUAAUAUCAGAAAUGCUACAGAGCUCCCACUCACUUUCUUGUAAAUACAGACUUCUCCAAAAGUCUGUACAAAACCAAAUGCUUUGAUCACACUAUCAAAGCGUUUAUUCCAACUCCGAGAGGCUUGCACCAGUCCAUAAAUGGAUCGCUGGAGCUUGCACACUUUGUUAGCUCCCUUUGGAUCGACAAAACCUUCAGGUUGCAUCAUAUACAACUCUUCUUGCAAAAAUCCAUUCAGGAAUGCAGUUUUGACAUCCAUCUGCCAAAUUUCAUAAUCAUAAAAUGCGGCAAUUGCUAACAUGAUUCGGACAGACUUAAGCAUCGCUACGGGUGAGAAGGUCUCAUCGUAGUCAAUCCCUUGAACUUGUCGAAAACCUUUUGCGACAAGUCGAGCUUUGUAGACAGUAACAUUACCGUCAGCGUCAGUCUUCUUCUUAAAGAUCCAUUUAUUCUCAAUUGCUUGCCGAUCAUUGGGCAAGUCAACCAAAAUCCAUACUUUGUUCUCAUACAUGGAUCCCAUCUCAGAUUUCAUGGCUUCAAGCCAUUUUGCGGAAUCUGGGCUCAUCAUCGUUUCUCCAUAGUUCGUAGGUUCAUCAUGAUCAAGUAGCAUGACUUCCAGAACAGGAUUACCGUACCAUUCUGGUGCGGAUCUUACUCUGGUUGAUCUACGAGGUUCAGUAGUAUCUUGUUCUGAAGCUUCAUGAUCAUCAUCAUUAGCUUCCUCACUAAAUGGUGUAGGUGUCACAGAAACUAGUUUCUGUGAUGUACUACUUUCCAAUAAGGGAGCAGGUACAAUUACCUCAUCAAGUUCUACUUUCCUCCCACUCACUUCUUUCGAGAGAAACUCCUUCUCUAGAAAGUUUCCGAAUUUAGCAACAAAGGUUUUUCCUUCGGAUCUGUGAUAGAAGGUGUAUCCAAUAGUUUCCUUUGGAUAUCCUAUGAAGACACAUUUCUCCGAUUUGGGUUCGAGCUUAUCAGGUUGAAGCUUUUUCACAUAAGCAUCGCAACCCCAGACUUUCAGAAACGACAACUUUGGUUUCUUGCCAAACCACAGUUCCUAAGGCGUCGUCUCAACGGAUUUUGAUGGUGCCCUAUUUAACAUGAAUGCGGCCGUCACUAGAGCAUAACCCCAAAACGAUAGCGGUAAAUCAGUAAGAGACAUCAUAGAUCGCACCAUAUCUAGUAAAGUACGAUUACGACGUUCAGACACACCAUUGCGCUGUGGUGUUCCGGGUGGCGUGAGUUGCGAAACUAUUCCGCAUUGUUUCAAAUGUACACCAAACUCGUAACUCAAAUAUUCUCCUCCACGAUUAGAUCGUAGGAAUUUUAUUUUCUUGUUACGAUGAUUUUCAACUUCACUCUAAAAUUCUUUGAACUUUUCAAAUGUUUCAGACUUAUGUUUCAUUAAGUAGAUAUACCCAUAUCUUCUUAAGUCAUCUGUGAAGGUAAGAAAAUAACGAUAUCCGCCACGAGCCUCAACAUUCAUCGGACCACAUACAUCUGUAUGUAUCAUUUCCAAUAAAUCUGUUGCAGAACCGGAGAACGAUGUUUUUGUCAUCUUACCCAUAAGGCACGGUUCGCAAGUACCAAGUGAUUCAUAAUCAAGUGAUUCCAAAAGUCCAUCAGUAUGGAGUUUCUUCAUGCGCUUUACACCGAUAUGACCCAAACGGCAGUGCCACAAAUAAGUUGCACUAUCAUUAUCUACUCUGCAUCUUUUGGCUUCAACACUAUGAAUAUGUGUGUCACUACUAUCGAGAUUCAAUAAGAAUAGACCACUCUUUAAGGGUGCAUGACCAUAAAAGAUAUUACUCAUAUAAAUAUAACAACCAUUAUUCUCUGAUUUAAAUGAAUAACCGUCUCGCAUCAAACAAGAUCCAGAUAUAAUGUUCAUGCUUAAUGCUGGCACCAAAUAACAAUUAUUUAGGUCUAAUACUAACCCCGAAGGUAGAUGUAGAGGUAGCGUGCCGACCACGAUCACAUCGACUUUGGAACCAUUUCCCACGCGCAUCGUCACCUCGUCCUUAGCCAAUCUGCGCUUAAUCCGUAGUCCCUGUUUCGAGUUGCAAAUAUUAGCAACAGAACCAGUAUCAAAUACCCAGGUGCUACUGCGAGCAUUAGUAAGGUACACAUCAAUAACAUGUAUAUCACAUAUACCUUUGUUCACCUUGCCAUCCUUCUUAUCCGCCAAAUACUUGGGGCAGUUCCGCUUCCAGUGACCAGUCUGCUUGCAGUAGAAGCACUCAGUUUCAGGCUUAGGUCCAGGUUUGGGUUUCUUCUCUUGAGUAGCAACUUGCUUGCUGUUCUUUUUGAAGUUCCCCUUCUUCUUUCCUUUGCCCUUUUUCUUGAAACUAGUGGUCUUGUUGACCAUCAAUACUUGAUGCUCCUUCUUGAUUUCUACCUCCGCAGCUUUCAGCAUUGCGAAGAGCUCGGGAAUAGUCUUAUUCAUCCCUUGCAUAUUAUAGUUCAUCACGAAGCUCUUGUAGCUUGGUGGCAGUGAUUGGAGAAUUCUGUCAAUGACGCAAUCAUCUGGAAGAUUAACUCCCAAUUGAAUUAAGUGAUUAUUAUACCCAGACAUUUUGAGUAUAUGCUCACUGACAGAACUGUUCUCCUCCAUCUUGCAGCUAUAGAAAUUAUUGGAGACUUCAUAUCUCUCAAUCCGGGCAUUUGCUUGAAAUAUUAACUUCAACUCCUGGAACAUCUCAUAUGCUCCAUGAUGUUCAAAACGUCGUUGAAGUCCCGAUUCUAAGUCGUAAAGCAUGGCACACUAAACUAUCGAGUAGUCAUCAGCUUUGCUCUGCCAGACGUUCAUAACAUCUGGUGUUGCUCCAGCAGCAGGCCUGGCACCCAGCGGUGUUUCCAGGAUGUAAUUCUUCUGUGCAGCAAUGAGGAUAAUCCUCAAGUUAUGGACCCAGUCCGUGUAAUUGCUACCAUCAUCUUUCAACUUUGCUUUCUCAAGGAACGCAUUAAAAUUCAACGGAACAACAGCACGGGCCAUCUAUCUACAAUCAAACAUAAACAAGCAAGAUACUAUCAGGUACUAAGUUCAUGAUAAAUUUAGGUUCAAUUAAUCAUAUUACUAAAGAACUCCCACUUAGAUAGACAUCCCUCUAAUCCUCUAAGUGAUUACGUGAUCCAAAUCAACUAAACCAUGUCCGAUCAUCACGUGAGAUGGAGUAGUUUCAUUGGUGAACAUCACUUAUGUUGAUCAUAUCUACUAUAUGAUUCACGCUCGACCUUUCGGUCUCUGUGUUCCGAGGCCAUAUCUGUAUAUGCUUGGCUCGUCAAGUAUAACCUGAGUAUUCCGCGUGUGCAACUGUUUUGCACCCGUUGUAUUUGAAUGUAGAGCCUAUCACACCCGAUCAUCACGUGGUGUCUCAGCACGAAGAACUUUCGCAACGGUGCAUACUCAGGGAGAACACUUCUUGAUAAUUAGUGAGAGAUCAUCUUAUAAUGCUACCGUCAAUCAAAGCAAGAUAAGAUGCAUAAAAGAUAAACAUCACACGCAAUCAAUAUAAGUGAUAUGAUAUGGCCAUCAUCUUCUUGUACUUGUGAUCUCCAUCUCCGAAGUACCGUCAUGAUCACCAUCGUCAUCGGCGCGACACCUUGAUCAUCAUCGUAGCAUCAUUGUCGUCUCGCCAAUCUUAUGCUUCCACGACUAUCGCUACCGUUUAGUGAUAAAGUAAAGCAUUACAGCGCAGUUGCAUUGCAUACAAUAAAACGACAACCAUAUGGCUCCCGCCAGUUACCGAUAACUCGGUUACAAAACAUGAUCAUCUCAUACAAUAAAAUUUAGCAUCAUGUCUUGACCAUAUCACAUCACAACAUGCCCUGCAAAAACAAGUUAGACGUCCUCUACUUUGUUGUUGCAAGUUUUACGUGGCUGCUACGGGCUUAAGCAAGAACCAAUCUUACCUACGCAUCAAAACCACAACGAUAGUUUGUCAAGUUGGUGCUAUUUUAACCUUCGCAAGGACCGGGCAUAGCCACACUUGGUUUAACUCAAGUUGGAGAAACUGACACCCGCUAGCCACCUUUGUGCAAAGCACGUUGGGAGAACCGGUCUCGCGUAAGUGUACGCGUAAUGUCGGUCCGGGCCGCUUCGUCCAACAAUACCGCCGAACCAAAGUAUGACAUGCUGGUAAGCAGUAUGACUUAUAUCACCCAAAACUCACUUGUGUUCUACUCGUGCAUAUAACAUCAACACAUAAAACCUAGGCUCGGAUGCCACUGUUGGGGAACGUAGUAAUUUUAAAAUUUUCCUACGCACACACAAGAUCAUGGUGAUGCAUAGCAACGAGGGGAGAGUGUGAUCUACGUACCCUUGUAGACCGACAGCGGAAGCGUUAGCACAACGCGGUUGAUGUAGUCGUACAUCUUCACGGCCCGACCGAUCAAGCACCGAAACUACGGCACCUCCGAGUUUUAGCACACGUUCAGCUCGAUGACGAUCCCCGGACUCCGAUCCAGCAAAGCGUCGGGGAAGAGUUCCGUCAGCACGACGGCGUGAUGACGAUCUUGAUGUUCUACCGUCGCAGGGCUUCGCCUAAGCACCGCUACAAUAUUAUCGAGGAUUAUGGUGGAAGGGGGCACCGCACAUGGCUAAGAAAACGAUCACGUGGAUCAACUUGUGUGUCUAGGGGUGCCCCUGCCCCCGUAUAUAAAGGAGCAAGGGGAGGAGGCCGGCCGGCCCCUAUAGGCGCGCCAGGAGGAGUCCUCCUCCUAGUAGGAGUAGGACUCCUACUAGGAGGGGGAAAGAAGUGGGGAGGGAGAAGGAAAGGGGGGCGCCGCCCCCCCUCUCCUAGUCCAAUUCGUACCAAGGGGGGAGGAGGCGCGUGGCCCAUCCUGGCGCCCUUCUCUCUCUCCACUAAUGCCCAUAUGGCCCAUUACUUCUCCCGGUAGGGUUCCGGUAACCCUCCGGCUCUCCGGUUUCCUCCGAAAUCACCCGGAACACUUCCGGUGUCUGAAUAUAGUCGUCCAAUAUAUCAAUCUUUAUGUCUCGACCAUUUUGAGACUCCUCGUUAUGUCCAUGAUCACAUCCGGGACUCCGAACUAACUUCGGUACAUCAAAACUCAUAAACUCAUAAUAUAUCUGUCAUCGAAACCUUAAGCGUGCGGACCCUACGGGUUCGAGAACAAUGUAGACAUGACCGAGACAUGUCUCCGGUCAAUAACCAAUAGUGGAACCUGGAUGCUCAUAUUGGCUCCCACAUAUUCUAUGAAUCGGUCAGACCGCAUAACAACAUACGUUGUUCCCUUUGUCAUCGGUAUGUUACUUGCCCGAGAUUCGAUCGUCGGUAUCUCAAUACCUAGUUCAAUCUCAUUACCGGCAAGUCUCUUUACUCGUUUCGUAAUACAUCAUCUCGCAACCAACUCAUUAGUUGCAAUGCUUGCAAGGCUUAUGUGAUGUGCAUUACCGAGAGGGCCCAGAGAUACCUCUCCGACAAUUGGAGUGACAAAUCCUAAUCUCGAAAUACGCCAACCCAACAUUUAUCUUUGGAGACACCUGUAGAGAUCCUUUAUAAGAACAUGUAUAAGUCAUGAAGAAAGCAAUAGCAACAUACUAAACGAUCGGGUGCUAAGCUAAUGGAAUGGGUCAUGUCAAUCACAUCAUUCUUCUAAUAAUGUGAUCCCGUUGAUCAAAUGACAACACAUGUCUAUGGUUAGGAAACAUAACCAUCUUUAAUUAACGAGCUAGUCAAGUAGAGGCAUACUAGUGACGUUUAGUUUGUCUAUGUAUUCACACAAGUAUUAUGUUUCCGGAUAAUACAAUUCUAGCAUGAAUAAUAAACAUUUAUCAUGAUAUAAGGAAAUAAAAUAAUAACAUUGUUAUUGCCUCUAGGGCAUAUUUCCUUCAUUCCCAAGGUUUGGAGUCCCUAGAUAUUUAAUGACUGAUGGUGGUUCACACUUUAUCCAUGGUGCUUUCCGUAAAAUGCUUGCCAAGUAUGGUGUUAACCGUAGAAUUGCAUCACCCUAUCAUCCUCAGUCCAGUGGUCAAGUUGAACUUAGCAAUAGAGAAAUAAAACUAAUUUUGCAAAAUACUGUCAAUAGGUCCAGGAAAAAUUGGUCUAAGAAUUAGAUGAUGCACUUUGGGCUUAUAGAACAACAUAUAAAAGUCCUAUGGGUAUGUCUCCUUAUAAAAUGGUUUAUGGAAAAGCUUGUCAUUUGCCUCUUGAGUUAGAACAUAAAGCAUAUUGGGCAGUUAAAGAACUCAAUUAUGAUUUCAAACUUGCUGGUGAAAAGUGGUUAUUUGACAUAAGCUCAUUAGAUGAAUGGAGAACCCAGGCCUAUGAAAAUGGAAAGUUAUUUAAAGAAAAGUUAAAAGAUGGCAUGAAAAAAGAAUCCAAAAGCGUGAGUUCAAACUUGGAGAAUAUAUUCUUUUGUACAACUCUCGUUUUAGAUUUUUUUUUACAGGGAAGCUCCUCUCGAAAUGGGAAGGCCACUAUGUCAUCGAGGAGGUUUACUGGUCUGGAGCCAUCAAAAUAAAUAAUUUCGAAGGCACUAAACCGAAGGUUGUCAAUGGGCAGCGAAUGAAUCAUUAUAUCUCAGGUACGCCUAUUAAUGUUGAAAGUAAUAUUAUCCAACUUUGACGCCUGAAGACCACAUAAAAGAGUCCUUCCGGAACACUCCAGAAUUGUGAAAAUAGGGAGGUACGUGAUAUGGUAAGUAAACGGACUCCGAAAAAUCUGCAAAAUAUUUUUUAUCAGUUUUGGAAUAUUUUAAAAUUUUGAAAAUAAAGAAACUCCCAGGAAGCGUACCCUAGUGAGCACAAGACACCAGGGCGUGCGCCUAGGUGGGUUGUACCCACCUGGGACACCUCCCGUACUCCCUUUUUCUUCCAUAUACUUGCCCUGCAAGAUAAAAAAUCUGUAUAUACUUACCGAACCUGUUAACCACCGUAUCGCGGAGAAAUCCUAUGUUUUCUUUUCUUGCUGUUUUUAGACAGAUUUGUUGGGCCACUGCCAUGGAAAUCAGAGGACAAGAUCUCUCCCUCACCACCACCAUUAUCUUCUUCACCACCAAAAGGGAAUUGAGUAUCGGGUAUGGGCACUCCCCUUGGCUUUCGCCAAGCUUGGGGAAGGUGCCCCGGUAUCGUAUCAUCCCACUACCUUUUUGCUUUUAUUUAUCUUAGUUCAAUCUUUUGAUUUAGAUAAAAUAAAGUUUAGCUCAAUCCUUUCUUAUUUGAAAGUUUGCUUAGUGAUCUAUCCUUGUAAUCGUGUGCAAGUUAUGUAAUGAAGUUAGUUUUAGUUUUUGCUUUCUUUACUUUUCAUGUUGCAAAUUAAGAAAAGAAAUAAGGAAGAAAAAAAGAGAAAGGAAAUAAAUGAAGAGAGGAAAUAAAUAAUGAAAAGAUUAUAUACUAAUCCUAUGGUAGGUGAUGGCACCACAUAAGGAAAAGUAUAAGUAGAAAAUUUUAUUAGAGAUUGACAAACAUAGCAUUAGUCAAUGAUGCAACUCAUGAAAGAAUUAAUAAGGGAAGAGAAGAUUCACAUAUAGAUAUACUAUCCUAGAAAUCUUUUGUUAUUGUGAGCCCUCAUCAAAAUAUUAUAUGCCAAAAUUGUUGACGUUGGACAAGGAAGACAACUUAAUGGUUUAUGUUUGUUUAUAUUCACAUAGAAGUCAUAUUGUUAUAGAUCCUUUAACAUGUUAUGCUUGCCCCCUAUCUUUGCUAGCCAAAAAUUCUGUACUAAGUAGAGAUAUUACUUGUGCAUCCAAAACCCCUUAAACCCAAAUCUUUUUCAAGAGUCCACCAUACCUACCUAGGGAUUGAGCAAGAUCCCUCAAGUAAGUUGUCAUCGGUGCAAAAAGGCAAUAAAAAUUGCUUCUAAAAGUGUGAGAUCAUUUAGUGUAAGAGAAAAUUGAGCGUUGUACGAACUUGGAUGACAAAUAAUAAAAGCGACAGACUGCAUAAUAAAGGUUGUCAUCUUAAGGGGCCAUGAAACGUGACAUUCUCUUGCACUAAGGGAUUGAGCAUACAAACAAAUAAGCGCAUGGCAACCUCUGCUUCCCUUUGCGAAGGGCCUAUCUUUUACUUUUAUGCAAAGAGUCAAAGUUUUUCUUCUAUUCCUUUUUAUUUACUCUUUUGGCAAGCAUCAUGUGGUGAGGAAAGAUCUAGGCACAUAUGUCCAGUUGAAUAUAGAUAGCAUGAGUUAUUAUUGUUGACAUCACCCUUGAGGUGAGUAUGUUGGGAGGCAAAACUAUAAGCCCCUAUCUUUCUAUGUGUCUGGUUGAAACGUCUUGCUCAUGGGUACAAGGUGAGUGUUAGCAAUCAUAGGAGACUAUAUGAUGGUUGAGUAUGUGGACUUGCUUUAAAGGCUCCGACACAUGACUCUUCCUGAAAAGAUGAUGAAUUGUAGUUGCAAAGUUGACUGAGAACAUAGUUUGUUAAUUUCUAAUAGAGUUUUUGCUCUAUACUUCGAUUAUGUGAUGAACCGUUACUUAUUCAUAGGAAGUACAUGAUGCAAGUUCCAUGAUAAAAGUCCUAUGUUUAAUUUUGUUGUUGUUAUAAUAAUCAACAUGAUGCUUCUAUGUCUGUAUUUUGUUUUUGUCGACACCUCUCUCUCAAAGCAUGUGGACAUGUUUUUCGAUUUCAGUUUUCGCUUGAGGACAAGCGAGGUCUAAGCUUGGGGGAGUUGAUACGUCCAUUUUGCAUCAUGUUUUCUUACUGUUAUUUAUAAUGUUUUUAUCCAUAAUAAUGCUUUUUGGAGUAAUUAUAAUGGCUUUUCUCUCAUAAUUUGCAAGGAACACACCAAGAGGGAGAAUUCCGGCAGCUGAAAAUCUUGACCUAGAAAAGCUACGAUAGGCCAUCUAUUCUGCACAACUCCAAAUGAGCUGAAACAUUACGGAGAAUUUGUAUGAAUUACUUGAGGAAUAUUGGAGUCAAUAAACACCAGAGGGGGCCACCAGGUGGGCACAACCCACCUGGGCGCGCCAGGCCCCCCAGCGCGCCCUGGUGGGUUGUGGCCUCCUCGGCCCACCCCCGGUGCCCAUAUUUUGGUAUAUAAGUGGUUUUGACUUAUAAAAAAAAUAAGAGGAGGACUUUCGGGACAAAGCGCCACCGCAUCGAGGCGGAACUUGGGCAGGAGCACUUUUGCCCUCCGGCGGAGCGAUUUUGCCGGGGGAACUUCCCUCCUAGAGGGGGAAAUCAUCGUCAUCAUCAUCAUCAACAACUCUCCCAUCUUGGGGAGGGAAAUCUCCAUCAACAUCUUCACGAGCACCAUCUCAACUCAAACCCUAGUUCAUCUCUUGUAUGCAAUCUUGUUACCAGAACUAUAGAUUGUUGCUAGGGGGUGACGAGUAGUGUUGAUUACAUCUUGUGCUUGAUUACUAUAUGGUUUAUUUAGUGGAAGAUUAUAUGUUCAGAUCCAUUAUGCAUAUUAAUACCCCUCUGAUCAUGAGCAUGAUUGUUGUUUGUGAGUAGUUACCUUUGCUCUUGAGGUCACGGGAUAAAUCAUGUUGCAAGUAAUCAUGUGAAUUUGAUAUGUGUUCGAUAUUUUGAUAGUAUUUAUGUUGUGAUUCCCUUAGUGGUGUCAUGUGAACGUCUACUACAUGACACUUCACCAUAUUUGGGCCUAAGGGAAUGCAUUGUGGAGUAGUAAAUAGAUGGUGGGUUGCGAGAGUGACGGAAACUUAAACCCCAGUUUAUGCACUAUUCCGUAAGGGACCGAUUGGAUCCUAGAGUUUAAUGCUAUGGUUAGAAUUUGUUCUUAAUACCUUUAUCGUAGUUGCGGAUGCUUGCAGGAGGGCUAAUCACAAGUAGGAGGCUUGUUCGAGUAAGAACAACACCUAAGCACCGGUCCACCCACAUAUCAAAUCAUCAAAGUAGCGAACACAAAUCAAACCAACAUGAUGAAAGUAACUCGAUGAAAUUCCCGUGUACCCUCAAGAACACUUUGCUUAUUAUAAGAGACCGUUUUGGCCUUCCCUUUGCCUCAAAAGGAUUGGGCUACCUUGCUGCAUACUUGUUACUAUUAUCAUUGCUCGUUACAAAUUAUCUUGCUAUCAAACUACUCGCUACUUACAAUUUCAGCACUUGCAGACAUUACCUUACUGAAAACUACUUGUCAUUUCCUUCUGCUCCUCGUUGGGUUCGACACUCUUACUUAUUGAAAAGAGCUACAAUUGACCCCCUAUACUUGUGGGUCAUCAUACACCUCACCCCAAAAAUCAGCCCACUCCAUUGUCACAUCUGACAAAGCUUUCGGGAGGAACUCACGAUGACCAGGGCCCCGUAACCAUUAUCCCGUGUGGCACUUAGUACGUAUAUGCCAGUGGCAUUCGCAGAUCAAAUACCCAAAUCUCGUUAAGCGUGUUAUUAUGAGAUAACAGCGGACACUAGCCAGGGCCCAAGCCCACCUCUCUCCUAGGUGGUCUCUGCCUACCCUUUCUUUCCGCCAUAAUGAAUCACUCGGGGAGGGGGGCAUCAGUAACCCAGGCCCACCACUACCUGGAAGGAACCACUUGUCCCUUCAGUCCCCCAAUCCGAACAAUGUCAUAAGUAUUGUAGUAUUAUAUAGCAUAUCUAUGAUCAUCGCCCGAAGGGAUCACAACCCGAUAGUAUAGCAUGGAAAACGGACAAGAGUGUAGGGCCACUAAUGAGACUCUAGCAUAACUAUACUAAGCAUAGUAGGAUUGCAGGUAAAGUAUCAACAACAGUUUAACAAAAGUAGGCUAUGCAACAUAAUAGGAUCUACCGAUAAGACACCGAAUGAACUCCGACUCUCUAAUGCAAGAAGUAGAGGGAAAGAAUAAGUGAUAUCAGAAUGAUCAAGGUUUGCUUGCCUGAAAGCUCUACCAAGAAGGACGGGUCAUUGACGAUGUAGUCGUACUCAGGGGUAGCAACACUAUCGGGGUCUACCGAAAGAAUAGACAAGAAGGGGAACGAAACAAAUAACAGGCAUACAAAUGCAACACAAAUGCAUGUCAUAUCAAUAUGUGAUGAUGAUAUGCCCUAAUGCAUCACUAAGCAUUUUAAAAGAAGUGGGAAAAUAUCUGGUAAUAUUUUCCCAGCUGAUCUAGGUGCAAAUUAUCAAUGACCAUUAUGUUAGAGGGUUGUGGCAGGUAUGUGGAUGGCAUAUUCAUAUUUCCAUAUUUUUUGAUCAACUUUCAUAUAUAAAACUUUUGUAUCUGAGUUAUAGAUUAUUUUAUAUAUUUUUCAAGACUUAAAUGAAUUUCUGAAUUUACUAGAUAUAUUUUAUUUUGAAAUUGUAAUAAAUAUAAUUGCUAUGUUUACACAAAGAGUGUACCUAGAGAGGUGCUCGUGUGGUUGAUAGGUGGGGCCGGAGGGGCCCAGUCAACUGCCCGGUCAGCUAUCAACAAUUGGCUGCUGAUUGGUCAAACCUGACUAGUGGGUCCCACUGGCCAAUGACUAUUAACUUAAUAGUUUAAUCUAAAUGAAUUUAAUUAGUGGUGGGGUCCGUGUUUCAGUGACAAGUGCCAAAAUUAGUUAAUGCUAAUGGUGGUCCUGACAAACCGAGGCCAGGAGUCAGUGACUCAAGCUGGUCCAAAUGCGGUGGCAUGCGAGUGGCGAGGCUUUGACUACCAUAGUAGCGGUGGAGGUGCUUGGAAACGUGGCUCUGGCGGCCAUUUGAUGUGCGGAAGGGCGCGUUCGAACACGGGCAGAAGCGUGCGUCGAACAAUGGCGAUGGCAGCCGCUGGCAGUGGCGGAGACAAGCCCCAGGCUGCCCGGGCGGCGGCUUGGGUCCUGAGGCUUGGCUCCUUCGUUUACUGUAGUGGAUUUUACACUGUUUAGCACUGUACCAAGUGAUUGGCCUGGGGCUUGCCCGGGUCGUGGCUUAAUCCUAGCUCCGCCACUGGCCGCUGGGAUGGCCAGAGAAAUCAAUGGCGUCGAGCAGAGGCGGCGGCCGAAGUCGGGCGUGGAUGGAUUCAGGGCUAGGGGCAUGACAAAACAUGCGGGUGCACGUUAGCUUCCUGGGCGCGAGUUUUGUUCGCCAUGGCUGCAGCGACGAGGUGCACAACGAUGGUGAAUUCUCGGACGUGGCAUGAAUGGGGGCUAGAGGACGAGCGCGAGGGCAGAGAGAGAGAGAGAGAGAGAGAGAGAGAGAGAGAGAGAGAGAGAGAGAGAGAGAGAGAGAGAGGAGGGGAAGGAAGAGGGGCUCACAUUGAGCUUGUAUGUGAGCAAAGCGGGCUCGGGGAGGCUUCGGUGAGGCCAAAUCGAAGAUGAACGCGGGCGGUGCCCGAGGAUGAAGACGACGACAAACUGGCGCUGCAGGGGCUCCCGACUCAGGUUGGUGGUCGCACACGACGAAGCGGACGACGACGGUGCUGGUGGACAACUUGUUAGGGCUCGGGUAGGACCGGGAGCGCGCACGAGAGGUCGGCCAAGGUGACGGCAAGGGCAUUGUGUGCCACGGGAAUGAAGUGGCGCGAGAAGGGGAAAGUUGCGAGGUCUAGGGCUGCCGGGGCAUCAAGGGGCACUUGUAGGACGCCGGGGAUGCGGCGGAUGGCCAACACAUGGCCGAUCCACUGCGUGGACAAGCGCACGAUGGCCACCCAGCCGGAAUUUCCUAUUUGCCGCUCUUUGUGGCAAGUAGUCGAUCGGACGCAGAGGCAGAUUGACGAGCGCGUUAGGAUGGGCCGGCCCGUUCAAACGUUAAAGCGAAUCCGGUUUUGGGAAUCUUCUAGGUAGUUCCCAGCCGGUUUUUCUGGUUUUGGAAACCUUCUAGAAGGUUCCUGAACCGGUUUUUCUAUUUCCCCCUUUACCCCUUUUUGUUUCUUUUCUUUUUCGUUUUAAUGUUCUUUUUUCUUUUUCUGUUUCCUUUUUUAUCUUUUUUCGUUUUUUAUGUUUCUUUUUUUCCUGUUUUCUGUUUCUUUUUCAUUUUUUGUUCUUCUCUUUUCAAAGUUAUAUUAUUUAUUUUUUCAAUUUUUUUGUGUUGCUCACAAUUGUUCAAAACUUCACAAAAUGUUCUCAUUUUUCAAAUUUUGUUCAUGCUUUCAAAAAAUUGUUCAAAACUUCACAAAAUGUUCUCAUUUUCAAAUUUUGUUCAUCCUUUCAAAAAAAUUGUUCAAAACUUCACAAAAUGUUCUCAUUUUCAAUUUUUGUUCCUGACUUGAAAAAAUGUUCAUGCUUUCAAAAAAUUAUUCAAAGUUAAAAAAAUGUUCUCAUCUUCAAAUUUUGUUUCUCUUUUAUUUUUUAGUUUCUUUUCCUUUUUUAUGUUUUUUCACAAUUUCACAACAUUGCAAAAUUUGUUCGCAAAUUAAGAAAAAUGUUCGUUUUUCCAAUUUUUGUUCGUGAGUUUCAGUAAAUGUUCCUUUUCAAAUUUUGUUUGCCUUUUUUCAGAAAAUGUUCGUGUUUGAAAUUUUUGUUUGUGAGUUUCAUAAAAUGUUCCCAUUUCAAAAAAAUCACAUAUUUCAAAUUUUGUUCGGGAGUUUUAAAGAAUGUUCACAUAUUUCAUACGAACUUAACUUUUUCUCUCAAACAUAACGUUCGCGUACAAAAUUUUGUUCUCUAAAUUCAAAAAAUGUUCGGGAUUUUAAAAAGUGUUCAUUUUAUCAAAACUUUGUUCAAGUUUUUUAGUUGUUCUUCUAGCAUUCAGCAAACGCGAACAAUUUUUGAAUUUUUAAAUUUUUUGAACAUAUCCAAUGUUUAAGGUUUCUAGGUGGGGGUGUUAGAUAUGUAGUAGAUGAUCUUUUAAAGUACCCGCGUUACAUAUGACCGAAGUAGGUAGUUAGCUCGCCUGGUUAGUGACAAGAGUAUACUAGCUCCAGAUGCAGUGAUCGAUCCCCCGCUCCGCGUUAUAAUUUUAGGUGAUCAUUUUGCUGUUUCGUCGCGACGAUGGGCCGGCCCAUUCGGGGGGCUGUACCUGUGCGGCGCGUGCGAAUCGGACGCAAAGAGCGGCGCAUAGGAGGUCCCCACCCAGCCCCCUCUGAACAGAGGAGGAAGAUGACCUCCAGGUGGGCUGGGCCUUCCCUGUUGACUUACGGCCCAGAGGCACGGUGGCUUUUAGCUCUUUUAUUCUUUCAUUUUCGCCUUUUAUUUUCCGCCUCAGGUUUGUAUUUCUUUGUGCUAUGAAAUGAAUUUUUGACUAUGAAAUUUGGCACAUAAAUAUUAGGCAACAUUUUGAGCUACCCCACCAAGUUUCAAUUUAUUUUGAAAUGUAUAACUAUUGGUUUAAUCUAAAAAAGGUCAAUUUAAUGCUGCUGGUUCAGUUUUAAAUAGGUUAAGGGCAUUUUAAUAAUUCAAAUAAUGUUAGAUGAUUCAUGAAAAUUACCUAGUGAAUAUUUGAAACCCAACCAACAUUUUUUUGUACUGUUUGAAGAAAUAAUAAUCUUACUUGCAUUUGAUUUUGAAUUUAGCUUGAGUUUGAACUAAGUGACAAUUAAGCUUAGCAAAAUAAAAUGACAAGGCAUCAUUAGGUUGAGUUCACUGUAGCUUAAUUACAGGGGUGUUACAGGGGUGCCGCUCGAGUCCUACCACUCUGCCUGAGAUCCGCCUCACUUGCUAGCGGUACCGCCAGCGUUAGGUGGAACUGGAGGCCGCCUACAUGGAGUUCAACGAGGUAGCGGACGAGGUGUGGGGCAAGGCCAAUGACGAGGAAGACAUUGCUGGCUCCGGCGAGCCGCGCCCCGUCACCACGUCCACGAAGUCGGCACGUCUACGAGCACCGCCGACAACGAGGAAGAGUAGUGCGUGAUUGGUCGCCGCCUCUCGGGUCCCAGGAAGGCCACCGCUUUCCCCCUCUACCCUAGGCCAAGCUGGGUGGGCUCAUAAUCGGCGGCCAAUUAUUCGCUCAAGCUCCGAUGGCGGAGGCUACGGAGGCAGAGCUGGACAGCGCCAAGGUAGAACUGGAGAAGGCGAAGGCAAGUGCCAGAGCUUCAGUUCUCGGGGCUCAUGGUCGGACACGGGGAACGAGCACAGGUGAUCUUUUAGAUUAGGUUUAGAAUAGAAGUAUGUCUGAAAUUAUAUCUCCAGAGUCAGAUGAACUCCGCUUUUAGUUGAAUUAUGUCUGAAAUGUAAUGAAUUUCAUCAUGUUUAUAUAAAAUAUGUCGUGUUUGCAUGAAUCUCUUCCGUUUCAUAUGAAAAACCGGCAGGUCCACAUGAUAUAGGGCAUGAGCAAUUGACAAUGAAAAUACCAUGCUUUAGGGCAUCUCCAAGGCCGACCCUUGAACCACCCUAAGCGCCCGGAUCGCGGUGUCCGGACACAGUUUGCCAUUCAACGCGGUUCUGUAUCAGUCCGCUGAGCGGUCCGGAUCACUUUUUUCCGGCAAACUGGAACCAGAGUGGGGGGUUUUGCGGAAGUCCGAACAUCCGUCUGGCCAAACAAAAGGCAUCACGUACCGUCUCUACUCUGUGUCCGCUCAGAAUGGCUAGCAUUUGGUGAAAGACUUUGUGCUAAUUGCGUUACAUUUGACAUAAGAUAGUGUGAAAUACGUGAGUGCAUUUGGCGAAAAAUGCUAAUUAUACUUAAUUAGGCGAUCAUUGCUAUAUUAGACAGAGCAUAAUUAGCGUAGCAUUUGGCGGAAGUUAGCUUUCUGCCAAAUGCUUAUGAGUAGUAUUUGAUGAAAGCUAGCUUUCCACCCUUAUUAGUAGCAUUUGGCGGAAGCUAGCUUUCCGUCAAAUGCUUAUGUAGCAUUUGGCGGAAACUAGUAGCUUAGCUAUUAAACAAAUUAGAAAUUACAGUUGAUAUUUUUUUAGGUAGAUGUAUGUGGUAUAGGAUUGGAUGGAUGGCUCUCGUAUUCUUGUUGUUCAGACAUCAGUCCGGACCGAUCUUCGGACAUAUAACCUAUCCUUUUACAUGUCGUCGUUGGAGAUGUUCUUAUACCGCAAAUUUAUAAAUUACCCCCUCUGCAAAUUAAUAUAAGAUACAACCGAAAUCCUGCAAUCGAGAAGGAAGCAGCUAGCUAGCUCAACUGGAUUAUUGAUCAUCAUACAGACAUACAUGACUUAAGAAACUUUAAACUUUACAGAACCAGAUAUCACCAGCUAACAUAAUUAAGCACAACCACAACGUUAUACAGUAGAACGCAGCGCACAAACUUAGCGAGAGCUACAUGCAUGUAGAUGCAGAAACCAGACUUCUACUUCAUGAACCCCUGAGCCAUCUUCAUGAACCCGCCGCCGCCGCCGCUCUCCUUCUCCUCCUCGCCACUCUUCUUCCCGGACAGCGAUGCAGCCCCCUUCAUGACGUCGUCGAGACCGAACCCAUCGGACGCUUUCUCUUCCUCCGCGGCGGGUGCAGGCGCUGCCUCCUUGGGUGCAUCCGGCUUCGGUGCGUCAGCGGCAGCAGGUGCGUCGGUUUUCUCCUUCUCGGUGCCGCCGGAGCUGUACUGUUUCAGGUACCCCUCGGCCUUCUCGAGGUACUGUCCCACCGGCUUGUCCUCCAGCUUGCCGUACUUGGCGGCGGAGUCCAGCAUCUCGGCGGAGGCGCCGGCUACCUUUUCCUUGUCGAUGCCCUCGACGCUCUUCUGCUCGUAGGCUGUCUUGGCGGCCUCCGCGACCAGCUUGCUGCUGGACAUCAGGUCCCCGGACGAGUUCUUCUCACCCUCCAUUGGAGCUUAGGUGCCGGUAGCAAAAUCUUUUGUGGCUUAAGAGUAGUGAGGUUAGUAGCAGAUGGAGUGAAGAGGAUAUAUGCUAGGGAUGUCAUUUUAUAGGUGGAGGAAGAUGUAGAUGGCAUGGGCAACAGAAGGGAAAGCUACUUGUGUGGUUGAGUCUAGUACUAGUGGAAAAGAAAAUAUCUUCAGAGGAUACAUGACACGUAGGGGAAGAGAAAAUUUUGCCAAGUAAAAUACUCAAUUUGAGUGUUGUAGAAAAAUAGUAUAAUUUUUAGUUCGGUAUUAGACAUGAAAAACAAAUGGUUAUUUCUAAGAGCUUCCAGUGGAUAAAAAACUAUUUUAAAAUGGUAUAGUGUAAAGUACUGCUUGAAAAUUCCUAUCAAACUUACUUCUACAAAUCAAACAAACAACACAGAAAAGGUUCUUAAGAUUUUGAUCCUCCAAAUUCUGUAAUAACACAUUGUAAAGGUACUUGAACUAAGAGCAGGUUGCCAGUGUUAUUGUGUAUCCCUUCUUUUAGUGCUUGACUGCGAAGAAUCGCAGUCACGAAAUGAAUUUUGUUCUCACAAAUCUCAGUGGAUAACCUCUUUAAGAUAAAGUGGCAGAUAUGGAAUCAGCUAAAGCUCUUGUGGUCACAAUCGCAAGUGGAUUUAUGCAAAAUUAAAAAUGAAAGAAAGGAGCCAAUAUGGCGGGGAUACGUGUCCUCUUGCAUUGAAAGUGAUAAUUACCUGCUGAACAGGGAAGAUGUCCAGGGAUCCCAGAUGUCGACUGUCGGCAGAGGCAGCACCGACGCUUUGCUAACGGCUGAAACGAGUGACACGUAUUUGGUGUACCCCCGCCAGGGAAAAAUAUCGGAUAAGUAUGAGGUGCCACUCUUGCUUCCAUGCUACAGUACCAAUUUAGAAAAUUCAAAUUUAAAGGUAUAAAAAAUUCAGAAAAAAACGUGAAUGUUCACCACACAUGUGUCCACAGCUCUUCAGAAAUUGAGAUCCAAACUCAAAGCACACAUUGAGAAACAAAAAAAAAACA
rnacentral:lncRNA from 1 species